AAAGUCUCAAGUUUCUAUUUAUUUCUUUUCGAGAACUAAACAUGGACUGUAUGAUAAAAGUAUGGGCACGGUUGGAAGAAGUGCCAAAAAGUCCCUUUCAUAGGGCUUCUUCCUUUAGUCCCAAAUACCUCUUUUAAUCCCUAAAAGUUCAUAAUGUUUUUUUCACAUGAGACUAAAACAGACUUUUUUAGUCUUUACAUUAAAAAGUCUCGUCCCCUAGACUAUACUUGCGUGGUUGCUUGGUCCGACCUUAGAUGUACAUGCAUGGUCCCCCUCCGCUCCGACCUCACAAGCAUCGCGCGCCCAUCCCCUUAAAACCGCACCAACUCGUAGCCAAAUUCCUCACAUAGCGCGCAAACACUACAGAGAGAGACUUGCGAGGAGCUAGCUAGCCAGAGACGCUCCAAGUCAAGCUAGCAAGGCGCGAAGAAUUCUUGGCGUUCGCGUAGCUAGCUAGGUAGCUACUGUCUCGCCGGCCAUGGCGACGCCGCAGGAGGUGCGCAGGGUCGACUCCUUCUCGCAGCUGCCGUUCAUCAGGCCGGCGGCGGCGGCGCAGCAGCAGCAGCAGCAACAGGGAAGGGACACCAUCCGGCUCUUCGGCCGCGAGUUCUCCAACAACGACCCCCUGCAGCAGCAGCAGCGCAAGCAGGAGGCCGGCGCCGGCUCCCCGGACGCCGCCAACGGGAGCACCGUCACGUCGGAGGGCAACGGCGGCGGCGGCGGCGCCAAGGGGGGCGCUGCGGCGGCCGGGGAGACGAGGAAGUUCGAGUGCCACUACUGCUGCCGCAACUUCCCGACGUCGCAGGCGCUGGGCGGCCACCAGAACGCGCACAAGCGGGAGCGCCAGCACGCCAAGCGGGCCCACCUGCAGGCCUCCCUCGCCAUGCACCGCUACGUCCCCGGCGGCCACCACAUGUACGGCGCCCUCCUCAACUACCACCACCACCACCACCCCGCCGCCGCCCGCUACGACCACCCGCCGCCGCACUACCCGAUGUGGACGACCGCCGGCAUGGGGCCCUACGCCGGCGGCCCGGGCUCCGUCUCGCAGCCCAUCGACGGCAGCCCCGUCGCGCAGGGCCACUGGAGGGUGCCCCUGCCGGCCGUGGAGAGCUUCGGCGCGGCAGUCCGUCACGGUCACGGCGCGGCGGACAUGGCGCCGGCCGUGGUGGUGCAGCCCGGGGCGGUGAUGACCAGCAAGGACGAGAAGGUGGUGAUGAGCUUGCUCUCCUCGUCGCCGUCCUUGUCGUCCUGCUCGUCGACGUCGCCGGAGAAGCUAGGUAGGUGUGAAUUGGGGCAGCAGGAGGCUCUUAGCUUGGACCUCCAUUUGUAACUCUUGUUUUUCUAGGUUUCUUUCUUCUUGCGAGUUGGCAGUAGUACGUUUCAAGUGCAUGUUGAUUCAAUCAAUCAAAAUAGCUCAAAUAAUCUCCACCGUUUUUGCCGUCUCCAUCCAUGUUUAGCUAGCUAGGAAGCUUGCUCCCCUUUUCUCCCAGUUAUCAUGGAAUCAAAAGAAAUCGCUUCCUGUAAUUUGCAAGAAGAAGGUAACAACUAGUAGUACAAAAUUUCCAUCUAGACUUGUUGAACCCGUCAAUUUCCCUACAAAGAUUAAAGCUUUGCAUGCCAUCUCAAGAAAAGGAAACAAAAAUAAGUAUCACUUUAAUUUACCAUGCAAGGUAAAAAUUUACAAACUGAAAUGUAGCGCAAAGGUUCGUGCGUUCACCAUCAUACGGUAGAUGUAGAAUGUGUGGGGCCAACACCACCGUACAUGGGCCCGUAUAUAUUGAUGUACGCAGCAUUGUUUUUCCUCCCCCACGGGCCCCAUGCUAGCUACCUCUGUCUGUCUGAAUUGCUUUGUACAGAGAUGGCUCUUUUUAGCAUGUGCUCUGCUCAAGCCAGGUAUGCGAUGUACUUUCUGGGCUUCCUCUUAUAGUUGAGCAUUAUGAUAGUAAUAACUUAGUCGUGGCAGAUUGGCACGUGAGCGGGUGGCCGAAAAUAUCAACAAAUAAGUGAAGUGAGUUAUGUUUAUUUGAGCAUUCGGGAAUCUCACCAGAAUGUUUGUUCUCAUCGAUGUACUGUACGACCACAUAACUCGUGCUUGCCUCUCAAUCAUGGUUGAUUUCUUUGCUGUCGCACAGUUUUCUCUAACUUGCAAAAUAGGCACAAGGCAAGAUAUAUCAUAUAAAAUCGGUCUUUAUAAGUAUUCUUUUUUCUUGCGGAAAAAAAUUCACUUACAAGAACAGAAAUUAUAGGCUUUUUUAUGCGACUAGAAAUUAGAGGCUAGUUCUUGUUGAAGAAAACAACACCGUCUUCCUUUGCACCCCUCGACGACAUACGAGGCUAGGUUAAAUUUGUGUUAAAAAAUAUUCUCUCUAUAUACUUUUAUAAAAUGCUUUAGUAGUGACUUAAAAUGUCUUAUAAAAAUUUACACGGGGGCACAGUUAAUCUCUCAAAGCGAAUGCACAUGAUCACACCUUCCACAUCAUUCAGUCUCCUGGGACAGCGCUAGGUAAAUUAAUGUCAUUGUACGGUGACCAUAUUAUAGUACGUACUUCCUUCGUUAUGGUUUAGAAGGCAUGUUUAAAAAUUCUCUGAAACCUAGGUGGUUAUUGAUUGGCUGUAAGAUUGGCUGAAAAAUAACAUUCACAACAGAAUACUAAUUAACUGCUAGAAGUAAAUACAAUGAGCUUUAAAUUUUAUUUAUUAUGCACGUAAAUUUAACCGUGUCUUUUAAACUGUGACGGAGAGAGUACUUGAUUUGCAGAAUUCAAUUUCGGUAGACGUUUCUUACUUUCUUGUGCUCACUUCGUGUCUCGUUCGUUGUCCCAGCAAGCAAGCCGACACGGACGUACUCCGGCCUGCACUGCGUCCUGACCACAUCCUGCAUUGCCCCGCCAUCAAUUAUCCCAGUACACAUGUACUAUGAGCUAUAACGAAAAUAGCUACUUGUACUAGCGAACUGAUAAUUUACGCUGUAUAGAAGUCGCAUUUAGCUGCGUUCAAACAACUCUUGGAUGAAUGCAGAACUACGUACGCAAGGCCCGCUGUGUCCUAGUGAAAAGCAUGGGCUGUCCUGUCCGGAUCGAGCUAGCUUAUGAAAAGCCUCUUCUCGCGGCCGGGUAAAGAAAUUCCGCUAACAAUUGCACGAUGUGCGCUUUUGUUGUGUGUGUCGAUUCAUUGUGUGCCUUCAUGCAAGAUGGACGACCAGAACAUCUUCUUCAACCUCGAACAGCCUAAUCUAUCACCGGCCUAACCGGUCGCAGCCGACAGGACUCCCAAGUCAGCCUUGCCGCCCCGCCCUCCUUCCGUCGCCUCCGGUCAUCCGUCUAACACCCUGGGUGUGAACAAAUUUUUUCGGCUAACGUGCAACCCACAACACUCUUAAGUUAGUUAAUGGGGUAGCCUUCGAUUCUAAGAUCCUGUUUGGAACCACAAUAGAUUAUGAUAAUCUGAAUUAUAAAGAUAUAUUAUAUAAUCUGAUUUAUAAAAAUAAUCUAGGUGGACAUGUUUGGAGUCCAGAUUAUAUAAACUGUAAUCUAGGUUUUACAUUGCAUAAUGACCUGUCUACCCUCUAGUUUUUUUAAAAAAGUAGGGUGGCGGUGGUAGGAAUGUAAUUAUCUUCGACUUUACAAGGGUAAUGGGUCAUUAGCAAUCAUAAUCUGAUUUUAGCUGGUGUAAAGUAGAGUAUGAGUUUUUAAUAAUCUCUUCAUCUAGUUUUUAUAAUCUACACCAUAAGCUGUCCUGUUUGAAGACAUAAUAGAUUAUAAAAACUGAAUUAUAUAAUCUGGGUGGUUCCAAACAGGGCCUAAGAUAUACUGAGGGGGCUUCUUCUUCGUGAGUCGGCAGCUGUUCUUCCUUCCUUCCAAAUCGAUCGAUCCGAAUUUGAUUCUUAUGCUACUUGCAAGUACCUAUUGUGUUUAAAUUUUGCAAAAACAAAAGCAUGCAAAAAAAAAAACAGGGCGUAGAGAUGGUACAUAUGUACCUUGUUACGAAAUUCCAAGUCCGGAUUUGAUUAAUAACUAAAUGAAAAAAAAACAUGUUCUAAAUGGUACCACUUCAAGUUUUAUGGUGUCACUGUCACAUUGGUAUUAUUCACGGUAUAAUUUGUCCUUUUUGUUUCCAAAGUUAUCUAUUGAAUUUGAGACUUCUCUUGGCAUGGUAUAUACACAUUCUAUGAAUAUCGCUGAUAUUUUUGUCAACAAUUUUGAAGAUAUAUCAAUGCUAAACUAAAGAUCUAGUGUCGUAAUAUACGUCUAAGGUAUAGUGCACCGAAUCACAUCCUGCUUUUAGGGUCUCGCUUAGAUAUGCACGUAUCUCUGCCUAUGACGGCGAAUGUAAAAUAAGACGGUCUUAACACCCCCCCCCCCCCCCNNNNNNNNNNNNNNNNNNNNNNNNNNNNNNNNNNNNNNNNNNNNNNNNNNNNNNNNNNNNNNNNNNNNNNNNNNNNNNNNNNNNNNNNNNNNNNNNNNNNNNNNNNNNNNNNNNNNNNNNNNNNCCCCCCCCCCCCCUCCCUCGUACGUACGGACAGAUAACAGUUUGGUGAGUGACCGGUAAAAAAUGCAGAUCCAAACGAACGACACAAACUAGCCUCGAACACUUGGUCUGAUUGACAUCUCUUAUAUUCAGUUUGAAUAUAUAACAGAUAUGAAAAGACACUAUGCGUCUAUGCACAUCGAGUAAAUUACAGGGACUCCAUCAAUUUCUAAAAUUAGUUAUAGGAACAUGAUUGUUUUUCCUAGAAAGUUACAGGGACCGACAUGUGGACUCCAUAUAUAGAACGGUCAAAGCUGACUGUGUUAACUUUUACGCCACAUCAGAGCUGGAUGUGUGAGACCGGUUUAAGAUACCGAAAUGGGUCGAAUUUUUAAUGACCAGACAGCCCCACCGAUCGUUUCAGGCUGGUUUGAGGUGACCGGCUUAUCGAUCAAGCCUCAAAUUUGGCUUCUCAAAACCAUACACCUGAAAUAUCAUAUCUCAAAUCCAUAUAAAUGCAUACAACUACGUCGGUACAUUAUAAACAUCGCCCGACUACUCCAUCACUACAAAAUGCCAUCAGAUUAUUAAAAUUUGUCAUGUUAGGUUAUGAUGGAGAUCAUCCACGGCUAACCUUGACCUUACGGGAGCACUUGUCGUCCAUCUCGUGGAAGUACCGACCAAAGACAUAAUACGGAUCGAGUCGAAUCUGCUCGUCGCCGGGGUUGUGCUCGUCGUCGCUGACCUCCUUAUCCUCCUUCGGUGGCAGCCCGACCAUUUCACACACCGCCCGAUUCUGCUUUUAGGUGAGGACGCACAUGUUCCUCUGCUGCCGUUUCUUCAAAAUGCACGCGUAGGUGGCUUCCUCCUCCAUGGUCGUCCGCGUUGCCGCAUCAACCGCCUCUAGCGCCAUCAUUUCCUCGUGAUACGUGCCUCGGCGAACCUUAUCCCCUCCAUCCCACGACGGACAGCCCGUUUCCGGUGGGACUCAUAGUCUGCCGGACCGGCGAUGGGGAAGGAGAGAUUUUUCAGUCGCCGUGACUCCGUGACCGCGAUGAUCGAGCCAUAGAGGACCCGAGCGCCCGUUGAGCGACGCUAUGGAGUCACAUCGGACAGAUAUUGCCGUUGGUCAGGUGUUAUCCUCGCGGGGAGGACGGAGUGCAAUGCGGACCAUCAUUACCGCCUUCAACCCGCACAGGAUGACAUCCGAGUCGAUGAACCCGGACUGGUCGGAGUCAGAUCCGCUGCCUACCAUGUCGAAGAUCGCCGAAGGUGAGCUUGGAUGAUCGAUGAGAGUGGAGGGGACGAAUAUAUGUAAGAUUGAUGUGUGCCAGCGUGGGCCAGGAUGACGUGACGUGCACGCCCGAAUGUCCCAUAUAUGCCCUAUAUUCAGGCUGGAUUCAAGCACCCGUCUGGAUUAAAAUUUCGUGAUGGAUCUGUGAUCGGACGGCAUGUAUGAGAUCAGUUUGUGAUGCCGGGUUGUACAUGCUCUUACGGACAAGAAUUGAAUCCACACGGUCGAUUUAUCCGAUGAAUCACUGCACUGGAAUGAAGACUUCUUUCAUGUAGUGCUAAGAGGAAAGUCACCAGUAUAUCAUCUUGUACACACGCAGAGACAUGACGAUACAGAUGCAUGCAUGCAUGCUGCUCUGGCACCGUGUAGCGCUAGCUUGCGAGCAUGUACUACGUGCUACUGCUGCCGAUCGGAUGGGCCGAAACUGCUAUGCACAGACCGGAGAUGGGGAGUUCCAGGGGGCAGGCCAACUGCGGUCGAUCCACAGCCAUCUGACUGCUACUAUAGCCAGUGGCAAGCUACAUGUCACGACGAUGGCGGUGCAAACCAAUGAGAAAGCUACACUGCCACAGGCAGGCAGAGGCAGGGCGCGCAUGCAGUCGGCUGACAGGGGCCAUGACGAACGACGCAGCAAGUACGGUGGAGCUAUUCUAGACAGAUCUAAAUGGGGGACACUGCGCCAUGCGUCCAAUUGGGUUGGCAGGCAUUGCCCACAUACCAGCGGCUACGUACGUACGUCCAUCGGCCUCUGCGGCAGCAGCAUGCAUGCAUGCAGGAUGCAGCAGCAGCAGCGGCGCCACCGUGCUCCAUGCAGUGGUUGCCGGCCGGCCACGGCCAGGACCAGCGGGCAGCGGCGCCAGAGGAGAGGAGAAGGCGCAUGCCGCUGUACUUGCAUGGUGCCAAGACACGCACUGAUGACUGACCAGUAGUUAAGUUUAAGCAGGUGGUACCAUCCACGCUGCUGAUCAGUGGCAUGUGCAUGUGGAUCUCUCAAAAGAUAUGCUACGGCUACGAGAGUGUGUGUGUUGAUUGAUCCAUCUUCCUUAAUUAAUUGAUCAAAGAAGCAUCGAUGCCUACGUGUCGCUCGUUGGUGGUCCGUCCACGUGCCUAGAGCACCCAUGUGCCGGUCUUAACCACGGCGGAGGUCCAUCUGUACAGUGCUUAAUGCUCAGUUAUUUUCUUUUUUGUCGCUAAUGGAUCGAUCGAUUUGCUCGAUGCGCGCGCGUGCUUCGGUUGCUCCCGACAUCGCCAAGGGCCGACAUGGGCCGGCCUUCCGCGCGCGCCCAUGUGUCUCCGGCGCUCUGGCCCAUCAGAUUUGCAUGCAUUCUCUCAAAAAAAAAAAAAAUCAGAUUUGCAUGCAUGCUUGCAUGCACAACGUCAUGAAGCAUCGAUGGAUCUGUGACCUCCAUCCGCGUAGCAUACGUAAAUCUCAAAAAAAAAAAAGAGGUAUUAGCAAUCUCAAAAAAAAAAAGAGGUAUUAGCACCCCAGGUCCUAGAACUUGCGUUUCAUGUGAUGAUUUGGUCCUACAACUUGCAAAGUGAACCUAUUUAGUCCCACAACUUGUAACUCAUGUGCAAUCUUAGUCCACAGCCAAUCAGAGCGUGCCAAGUGAACAAGGUGGGUCAGGAUGGGUCAUUUUGCACACAGCCCCUUGCAUUUGUCACUUAUUAAUCAUCUCCUGUCGGUAUCUGAGAAACACCUGAAUUUAAUAACCCUAGUAACUCAUGUUCCAAAACGAGAGCAGCACUCUUCCCUCGUGCGCGACCGCUUUUCCUCUCUGUUCUUUCCCUCUUCUCCCUAGUGCGCGACACCGUUUCUUCACGUGAUGGCGUCGUCGGAGUUCUUCGGCGGCCGGGAACCGCGUGCCUCGACCCACCUCGUCCGGCCGCACUGUGUGUACCCCCCAGAUUACGAUUGUUCUCGUUGUUCUCUCUUCUCCCUCGUGAUCUCCUCCUGGUUUGCUGAUCCAUGCUUUGCUCUGGUGAGAAGAAGAGUUGUUGCAUCUGCUUCGUAUUACAUAUGUUGUUGUUGCUGAUCCAUGCUUUGCUCUGGUGAGAAGAAGAGUUGAUCCAUGGAUUUAGGGUUGAUGUACAUUUUACCAUGAUUAAGCUAUGGAUUUAGGUUAUGGUAUUUAGGCAUGCAGCUGUUGUUGUGUUGUUGUGUGUGUGCAAGUUACAUUUUCUUACUUUUUUUGUUAGAUCUGGUGAGAAGAAGAGUUGUUGCAUCUGCUUAGUAGAACAUAUGUUGUUGUUAUUUUCAGUUGUUGCAGCUUUUUAGUAGUAUAAAUGCUUGAGCUGGUUAGUAGUACAUAUGAUGCUCUUAACUGUAGUUUUCAUUUUUCACUGUUUGGAUACAGUGUGUGAUUCAUUAAUGGGAAAAAGUGUUUGCACUCCUUUUUCACACUGGAAAUUGAGCAUGGUGGCAUCUUCUUAGGAGCAGUUAGUGAACUGGAGUAUUACAACUCUUCUGUGGAGGUGCUGGACUAUUUAGAUCCUGGCACAUUUAGUUAUGCAGUGCUAGAAGAGCACCUAAACUGGUUGGGAUAUCCUAAGAAUCGGCACAUCAUCUACUAGUGCUUGCCUGACAAGAAAAUAUGUGAUGGCCUGGUGAGAAUUACAGGUGAUGAGGAUCUGCAGCAAGUGAUCAGAGCUAGUGGUAAUCAUAAAGUGCUUGUAAUAAUGGUUGACCAUUCAGACUUCAUGAGUAAUUUCAAGAAAGAUUUGAUAUUGAAGGAGCCAUCAUUUGAAAGCCCUGUUAGAGUGGCCAACUGUUCUGUUGAUGCAAGCAAUUCACGCAACAUCAUUUGUUUGAAUGCUGAUAAUCCCAUUUCACAGGUUGCAGAAGCUAGCACAGAACCAAACAAUUUGCUUAAUGAUGCUGCAAAUCUUCUUACUAAUGUUGUACACACACAUGUGCUUACUGAUGGUGCAGACUCAAAUUUGUUGAAUGAUGCUGCUGCAGACUCAAACUUGCAUAAUGAUGCUGUUGCGGACUCAAACUUGCAGAAUGCUGCUGCUCAGCCAAAUUUGCUGAAUGAUGCUGCCCAUCCUAACUUGUUGGCUCAUGGUGUGUUGUUGGAAGAAUCAGAUGUCAGUGAUAGUGAUUAUGACAUUCAUUAUGAAGAUGAUGAUCUGUAUGAAGACAACAUUGACUAUGAUGUUGAUGAAGAAGCUGAGCCAGAGGUGGAAGAUGUUGAGCCUGAUUAUUUACUUGAAGAUGAAGAUCUGAACCUCUCCAUUGAACAACAAGAACAACUUAAGUACAAGUUCACAACAUUCAAUUCCAAGGUGGACAUGAAAUGCCCUAUUUUUACUUUGGGUAUGGUAUUUGCUGAUGUGGUUGAGAUCGGGAAAGCUCUAAGUGCAUAUGCAAUAAGAAACAGAGUGCAAAUUAAGAAGGUGAAGAAUGACAAGAUAAGGUUAGAGGCAAUUUGUCAGCCAGGGUGCCCAUGGAUGCUCAAGGCUGGCAAUGAUAAGAGGACUGGAGGAUUUGUGAUCAAGGCAUUCAAUCCAUUGCAUUUGUGUCAAAAGAAAUGGAAGUUAAAGGAUUUGACAGUUAAAUUCUUGUGCAAGACAUUCAUUGAAGAAUUCAGAGAUGACCAGAAGAUGUCACUUGGAACAUUUGCAAGGAAAAUAACUAAGGAGUUUAAUGUUACUCCUAACAGAUGGAAGUUAGCUAGGGCUAGAACACAAGCACUUAAGCAGAUCCAUGGUGAUGAGGAAGAACAGUUUAGUAGGCUAUGGGAUUAUGGCCAUGACUUAAGGAGCAAAAAACCGUGGCUUUACAUUUCUGCUCACAGCUACACUGGUGAACGAUACAAAAUUUCCAGUGGGUAGGAAAUGUUUGAAAACAUUGUACUGGUCAUAUGAUGCAUGUAAGAGAGGGUGGCUAAAAGGUUCCAGACCCAUUCUAUUUAUUGAUGGUUGUCACAUGAAAACAAGAUUCAAAGGAAUGCUUCUUAGUGCUGUUGGAAUUGAUCCAAAUGACUGCAUUUUCCCCAUUGCAAUGGGUUGCGUGGAAGUAGAAUGCACUGGUUCUUGGGAGUGGUUCCUGACAACUCUAAGAGAUGAUCUGAACAUCACCAACACUGCUCCUUUCACAGUAAUAAGUGAUAAGCACAAAGGAUUAAUCAAUGCAGUGAUUGGCCAGAUUCAGAACACAGGUUUUGUGUGAGGCAUAUUUAUCAAAAUUUUAAUGAGAAGCACAAAGGAGAGGUACUGAAGCAAGAUUUGUGGGCCAUUGCAAGAUCACCAAACAAGGUGAAGUGGAGAGAGAACUGUGAGAAAAUGGAUGAUCACUCCCCAGUUGCCUUCCGUUGGACUGAAAGACUUGAGGCAAAGACCUGGUGCAAGGCAUUUUUCAGUACAUUUUCCAAAUGUGAUAUUCUGUUGAACAAUAGCUCUGAAGUGUUUAACAGCUACAUCCUUGAUGGCAGAGAGAUGGCAGUUCUUAGUAUGCUUGAAUAUAUCUUCUACAAGAUCAUGCAUAGGAUAGUGACUAAACAAAGAGAAGCUAUAGAAAAAUGGACAGGGCAUAGAAUAUGCCCAAAGAUAAGGAAGAAAUUAGAGAAAAACACUGAGUUUGCUGCAAAAUGUCAUGUAUCCGAAGCUGGCCAACAAAUCUUCAGAGUUCAGUCUCGUAACUCUAGCUACAUAGUGGACCUUUGCAAGCACACAUGUGAAUGCAUGAGAUGGCACUUGUUUGGGGUACCAUGUGGCCAUUCCAUAGCUUGUUGCAGAGAGGAGAGGAUUGACCCAGAGACAAUGGUUCAUGAUUGCUAUACAGUUCAAACAUAUCUGAAGGCAUAUGGAUACACUCUUUUCCCUCUUGCAGAUCCAAAGGAUUGGCAAAUACAGAAUGUUGUUGGGUAACGUAGCAUAAAUUCAAAAUUUUCCUACGCAUAUUCAGAUCUUCCUAUGGAGAGACCAGCAACGAGAGAGGGGAAAGAGCAUCUUCAUACCUUUGAAGAUCGCUAAGCGGAAGCGUUGCUAGAACGCGGUUGAUGGAGUCGUACUCGCAGCGAUUCCGAUCUAGUGCCGAACUACGGCACCUCCGCGUUCAACACACGUGCAGCCCGGUGACGUCUCCCGCACCUUGAUCCAGCAAGGAAGAGGGAGAGGUUGGGGAAGAACUCCAGCAGCAUGACGGCGUGGUGUCGAUGGAGAGACGAGGUCUCCCGGCAGGGCUUCGCCAAGCACCAGCACAGAGGAGGAGAAAGAAGAGCAGGGCUGCGCCGAGGGAGAGGGAAAAGUCUAUCUCUCAAUGGCCAAAAGUGCCCGAUAUAUAUAGGGGGAGGGGAGAGGGGGUGCCACCCCUAGGGUUCCCACCCUAGGGGGUGCGGCAGCCCCCCCAGAUGGGAGGUGCGGCGGCCAGAGGGGGGAGGAGGGGGUGGCGCACCAUCUGGUGGGCCUUAGGCCCACCUCGCUUAGGGUUUGCCCCCCCUUUUCUCUCCCCUGCGCAUUGGGCUGAGUGGGGAGGCGCACCAGCCCACCUAGGGGCUGGUUCCCACCCCCACUUGGCCCACCUUACCUCCCGGGGUCGUUGCCCCCCCUUCGGUGGUCCCCCGGGGCCACCUCCGGUGGUCUCGGUACGUUACCGGUGAUGCCCGAAACACUUCUGGUAUCCGAAACCAUCCGUCCUAUAUAUCAAUCUUUACCUCCGGACCAUUCCGGAGCUCCUCGUGGCGUCCGGGAUCUCAUCCGGGACUCCAAACAUCUUUCAGUAACCUCGUAUAACAAUUCCCUAUAACCCUAGCAUCAUCGAACCUUAAGUGUGUAGACCCUACGGGUUCGGGAGAGAGGCAGACAUGACCGAGACACCUCUCUGGCCAAUAACCAUCAACGGGGUCUGGAUACCCAUGGUGCCUCCCACUUGCUCCACGAUGAUCUCAUCGGAUGAACCACGAUGUCAAGGAUUCAAUCAAUCCCGUAUACGAUUCCCUUUGUCUGUCGGUAUAGAACUUGCCCGAGAUUCGAUCGUCGGUAUACCUAUACCUUGUUCAAUCUCGUUACCGGUAAGUCUCUUUACUCGUUCCGUAGCAUGUCAUCGUGUGACUAACUCCUUAGUCACAUUGAGCUCAUGAUGAUGUUCUACCGAGUGGGCCCAGAGAUACCUCUCCGUCACACGGAGUGACAAAUCCCGAUCUCGAUUUGUACCAACCCAACAGACACUUUCGGAGGUACCCGUAGUGCACCUUUAUAGUCACCCAGUUACGUUGUGACGUAUGAUACACCCAAAGCACUCCUACGGUAUCCGGGAGUUGCACAAUCUCACGGUCGAAGGAAAAGAUACUUGACAUUAGAAAAGCUUUAGCAUACGAACAAUACGAUCUAGUGCUAUGCUUAGGAUUGGGUCUUGUCCAUCACAUCAUUCUCCUAAUGAUGUGAUCCCGUUAUCAAUGACAUCUAAUGCCCAUGAUCAGGAAACCAUGAUCAUCUCUUGACUAACGAGCUAGCCAACUAGAGGCUUGCUAGGGACACAUUGUGAUCUAUUUAUUCACACAUGUAUUACUGUUUCCUGUUAAUACAAUUAUAGCAUGAACAAUAGACGAUUAUCAUGAACAAGGAAAUAUGAUAAUAACCAUUUUAUUAUUUCCUCUAGGGCAUAUUUCCAACAGUCUCCCACUUGCACUAGAGUCAAUAAUCUAGUUACAUUGUGAUGUAUCGAACACCCAUAGCAUUAUGGUGUUGAUCAUGUUCUGCUCGUGGAAGAGGUUUAGUCAACGGGUCUGCAAUAUUCAGAUCCGUGUGUACUUUACAAAUAUCUAUCACUCCACUCUCGACAUGGUCCUGGAUAGAGUUGUAGCGGCGUUUGAUGUGCUUUGUCUUCCGGUGAAACCUGGGCUCCUUGGCUAUGGCAAUGGCCCAGUGUUAUCACAGAAGAGUGUCAUUGGACCCGACGCGCUUGGAACCACUCCAAGGUCGGUGAUGAGCUCCUUCAUCCAAAUUCCUUCAUGAGCUGCUUCUGAAGCAGCUAUGUACUCCGCUUCACAUGUAGAUGCUGCCACGACUUCUUGCUUGCUGCUGCACCAACUCAGUGUCCCACCAUUCAACACAUAUACGUAUCCGGUCUGUGACUUAGAGUCAUCCGGAUCUGUGUCGAAGCUAGCGUCGACGUAACCCUUUACGACGAGCUCUUCGUCACCUCCAUAAACGAGAAACAUUUCCUUAGUCCUUUUCAGGUACUUAAGGAUAUUCUUGACCGUUGUCCAGUGUUCCAUACCUGGAUCACUUUGGUACCUCCCUACCAAACUUAUGGCAAGGUUUAUAUCAGGUCUGGUACACAGCAUGGCAUACAUUAGAGAGCCCACGGCUGAAGCGUAGGGGACAUAACUCAUCUUCUCUCUAUCUGUUGCCGUGGUCGGCGACUGAGUCUUACUCAAUCUCAUACCUUGCAAAACUGGCAAGAACCCUUUCUUUGAAUUUUCCACAUUGAACUUUUUCAAUAUCUUGUCAAGGUAUGUACUUUGCGAAAGACCUAUGAGGCGUCUUGAUCUAUCUCUAUAGAUCUUGAUGCCUAAUAUGUAUGCAGCAUCUCCAAGGUCCUUCAUUGAAAAACUCUUGUUCAAAUAGGCCUUUAUGCUCUCCAACAUCUCUAUAUUAUUCCCCAUCAAUAAUAUGUCAUCCACAUAAAGUAUGAGGAAAGCUACAGAGCUCCCACUCACUUUCUUGUACAGACAGGCUUCUCCGUAAACCUGUAUGAACCCAAACGCUUUAAUCACCUCAUUAAAGCGAAUGUUCCAACUCCGAGAUGAUUGCACCAGCCCAUAGAUGGAGCGCUGGAGCUUGCACACUUUGUUAGCACCCUUAGGGUCGACAAAACCUUCUGGUUGCAUCAUAUACAACUCUCCCUUAAGGUUCCCGUUAAGGAACGCUGUUUUGACGUCCAUUUGCCAAAUUUCAUAAUCAUAAAAGGCGGCAAUUGCUAACAUGAUUCGGACUGAUUUCAGCUUCGCUACGGGAGAGAAAGUCUCUUCGUAGUCAACUCCUUGAAUUUGUCGAAAACCCUUUGCGACAAGUCGAGCUUUGUAAACGGUUACAUUACCGUUUGCAUCAGCCUUGUUCUUGAAGAUCCAUUUAUUUUCUAUGGCUCGCCGUUCAUCGGGCAAGUCCACCAAAGUCUAUACUUUGUUCUCAUACAUGGAUCCUAUCUCGGAUUUCAUAGCCUCAAGCCAUUUGUUGGAAUCCAGGCCCGCCAUCGCUUCUUCAUAGUUCGGAGGUUCACCGUUGUCUAACAACAUGAUUUUCAUCACAGGGUUGCCGUACCACUCUGGUGCGGAGCGUGCCCUUGUGGACCUUCGUGGUUCAGUAGUAACUUGAUCCGAAGCUUCAUGAUCAUCAUCAUUAACUUCCUCUUCAGUCGGUGUAGGCGCCACAGGAACAACUUCCCGCGCUGCGCUAGUAUCCUGUUCGAGAGGGGGUGUAAUUACCUCAUCAAGUUCUACCUUCCUCCCACUUACUUCUUUCGAGAGAAACUCUUUCUCUAGAAAGGAUCCGUUCUUGGCAACAAAGGUUUUACCUUCGGAUCUAAGAUAGAAGGUAUACCCAAUAGUUUCCUUAGGGUAUCCUAUGAAUACACAUUUCUCCGCUUUGGGUUCGAGCUUUUCUGGUUGAAGUUUCUUCACAUAAGCAUCGCAGCCCCAAACUUUAAGAAACGACAACUUAGGUUUCUUGCCAAACCAUAGUUCAUACGGUGUCGUCUCAACGGAUCUAGACGGUGCCCUAUUUAAAGUGAAUGCUGCAGUUUCUACUACAUAUCCCCAAAAUGAUAGCGGUAAGUCGGUAAGAGACAUCAUAGAUCGUACCAUAUCUAAUAAAGUGCGAUUACGACGUUCAGACACUCCGUUGCGUUGCGGUGUGCCAGGCGGCGUCAGUUGUGAAACGAUUCCACAGUUCCUUAGGUGUGUGCCAAACUCGCGACUCAAAUAUUCUCCUCCACGAUCACAUCGUAGACAUUUAAUUUUUCUGUCACGUUGAUUCUCAACCUCACUCUGAAAUUCCUUGAAAUUUUCAAACGUCUCAGAUUUGUGCUUCAUCAAGUAGAUAUACCCAUACCUACUGAAAUCAUCGGUGAGAGUGAGAACAUAACGAUAACCACCGCGAGCUUCAACGUUCAUUGGACCACACACAUCAGUAUGUAUUAUUUCCAAUAAGUCAGUUGCUCUCUCCAUUAUUCCUGAGAAUGGAGUCUUAGUCAUCUUGCCCAUGAGGCACGGUUCGCAUGUGUCAAAUGAUUCAAAGUCAAGAGACUCUAAUAGUCCAUCAGUAUGGAGCUUCUUCAUGCGCUUAACACCGAUAUGACCAAGGCGGCAGUGCCACAAGUAUGUGGGACUAUCAUUAUCAACUUUACAUCUUUUGGUACCCACACCAUGAAUAUGUGUAACAUCACGAUCGAGAUUCAUCAAGAAUAAACCAUUCACCAGCGGAGCAUGACCAUAAAACAUGUCACUCAUAUAAAUAGAACAACCAUUAUUCUCUGACUUAAAUGAGUAGGCGUCUCGCAUUAAGCAAGACCCUGAUACAAUGUUCAUGCUUAAAGCUGGUACUAAAUAACAAUUAUUAAGGUUUAAAACUAAUCCCGAUGGUAGAUGUAGAGGUAGCGUGCCGACGGCGAUCACAUCGACCUUUGAACCAUUCCCGACGCGCAUCGUCACCUCGUCCUUGGCGAGUCUCCGCUUAUUCCGCAGUUCCUGCUUUGAGUUGCAAAUGUGAGCAACAGCAUCGGUAUCAAAUACCCAGGAGAUACUACGAGCGCUGGUAAGGCACACAUCAAUUACAUGUAUAUCACAUAUACCUUUAAUGUUGCCGGCCUUCUUGUCCGCUAAGUAUUUGGGGCAGUUCCGCUUCCAGUGACCUUUUCCUUUGCAAUAGAAGCACUCAGUCUCAGGCUUGGGUCCAUUCUUUUUCUUCUUCCCGGCAUCUGGCUUACCGGGCGCGGCAACAGCCUUGCCGUAUUUCUUGAAGUUCUUCUUACCCUUGCCUUUCUUGAAACUAGUGGUCUUGUUGACCAUCAACACUUGAUGCUCUUUCUUGAUUUCUACUUCUGCAGAUUUGAGCAUCGAGUACAACUCGGGAAUGGUCUUCUCCAUUCCUUGCAUGUUAUAGUUAAGCACAAAGCCUUUGUAGCUUGGUGGGAGAGACUCGCGGAUUCUGUCAACUAUAGCAUCAUCCGGAAGUUCGACUCCAAGUGAAGUCAGACGACCGUGUAACCCACACAUUUUGAGUAUGUGCUCACUGACAGAACUGUUCUCCUCCAUCUUACAGCUAAAGAACUUGUCGGAGACUUCAUAUCUCUCGACACGGGCAUGAGCUUGAAAAACUAGCUUCAGCUCCUAGAACAUCUCAUAUGCCCCGUGUUGCUCAAAACGCCUUUGGAGCCCCGUCUCUAAACUGUAUAACAUGCCACACCUAACCAGAGAGUAGUCAUCACUCCGCGUUUGCCAGACGUCCAGAAUGUCUUGGGCUGCUGCGGGAGCGGGAGGGUCACCUAGCGGCGCAUCAAGGACAUAAGCCUUUUUAGCCGCUUCAAGGAUGAGCUUCAAGUUGUGAACCCAGUCCGCAUAGUUGCUACCAUCAUCUUUCAGCUUGUUUUUCUCUAGGAAUGCGUUGAAAUUGAGGUUGACGUUGGACAUCUACGAUAUUUAUAAAGACAACUUUUAGACUAAGUUCAUGACAAUUAAGUUCAUUUAAUCAAAUUAAGUAUGAACUCCCACUUAAAUUGACAUCCCUCUAGUCAUCUAAGUGAUACAUGAUCCAUGUUGACUAACCCGUGUCCGAUCAUCACGUGAGACGGACUAGUCACCAUGGUGAGCAACUGCAUGCUGAUCGUAUUCAACCAUACGACUCAUGUUCGACCUUUCGGUCUCUUGUAUUCGAGGUCAUGUCUGUACAUGCUAAGCUCGUCGAGUCAACCUAGGUGUUUCGCGUGUGUAAAUCUGGCUUACACCCGUUGUAUGCGAACGUUAGAAUCUAUCACACCCGAUCAUCACAUGGUGCUUCGAGACAACGAACCUUCGCAACGAUGCACACUUAGGGGAAUACGUUCUCGAAAUUUUAAGAGGGAUCAUCUUAUUAUGCUACCGUCGUUCUAAGCAAUAAGAUGUAAAACAUGAUAAACAUCACAAUGCAAUCAUAUAGUGACAUGAUAUGGCCAUUAUCAUCUUUGCUCUUUCGAUCUCCAUCUUCAGGCAUCGCACGAUCAUCAUCGUCACCGGCGUGACACCAUGAUCUCCAUCAUCGUGUCUCCGUGAAGUCGUCACGCCAACUACUACUAUAGCUAACCGUUAGCAAUGAAGUAAAAGUAGUAAGCACAUGGCGUUGCAUCUCAUACAAUAAAUUAAGACAACUCCUAUGGCUCCUGACGGUUGUCAUACUCAUCGACAUGCAAGUCGUGAAACCUAUUACAAUAACAUGAUCAUAUCAUACAUCAUACAUGCAACAUCACAACUUUGGCCAUAUCACAUCACAUGUCAAACCCUGCAAAAACAAGUUAGACGUCCUCUAAUUGUUGUUGCAAGUUUUACGUGGCUGAUUUGGGUUUCUAGCAAGAACGCCUUCUUACCUACGUGACAACCACAACGAUGAUAUGCCAAAGCUAUUUACCCUUCAUAAGGACCCUUUUCAUCAAAUCCAAUCCGACUAGAGUAGGAGAGACAGACACCCGCUAGCCACCUUUAUGCACGGUGUGCAUAUCUGUCGGUGGAACCAGUCUCACGUAAGCGUACGUGUAAAGUCGGUCCGGGCCGCUUCAUCCCACAAUACCGCCACAAAAGAAUAAGACUAGUAGAGGCAAGCAAAUUGACAAAUCAUCGCCCACAACUUUUGUGUUCUACUCGUGCAUAGAAUCUACGCAUAGAAAACUUGGCUCGGAUGCCACUCUUGGGAAACAUAGCAUAAAUUCAAAAUUUUCCUACGCAUAUUCAGAUCUUCCUAUGGAGAGGCCAGCAACGAGAGAGGGGUAAGAGCAUCUUCAUACCUUUGAAGAUCGCUAAGCGGAAGCGUUGCUAGAACGCGGUUGAUGGAGUCGUACUCGCAGCGAUUCCGAUCUAGUGCCGAACUAUGGCACCUCCGCGUUCAACACACGUGCAGCCCGGUGACGUCUCCCGCACCUUGAUCCAGCAAGGAGGAGGGAGAGGUUGGGGAAGAACUCCAGCAGCACGACGGCGUGGUGUCGAUGGAGAGACGAGGUCUCCCGGCAGGGCUUCGCCAAGCACCGGCACAGAGGAGGAGAAAGAAGAGCAGGGCUGCGCCGAGGGAGAGGGAAAAGUCUAUCUCUCAAUGGCCAAAAGUGCCCCAUAUAUAUAGGGGGAGGGGAGAGGGGGUGCCACGCCUAGGGUUCCCACCCUAGGGGCUGCGGCAGCCCCCCCAAAUGGGAGGUGCGGCGGCCAGAGGGGGGAGGAGGGGGUGGCGCACCAUCUGGUGGGCCUUAGGCCCACCUGGCUUAGGGUUUGCCCCCCCUUUUCUCUCCCCUACGCAUUGGGCUGAGUGGGGAGGCGCACCAGCCCACCUAGGGGCUGGUUUCCACCCCCACUUGGCCCACCUUACCUCCCGGGGUCGUUGCCCCCCCUUCGGUGGUCCCGGUGGUCCCGUACCGGUGAUGCCCGAAACACUUCCGGUAUCCGAAACCAUCCAUCCUAUAUAUCAAUCUUUACCUCCGGACCAUUCCGGAGCUCCUCGUGACGUCCGGGAUCUCAUCCAGGACUCCGCACAUCUUUCAGUAACCUCGUAUAAUAAUUCCCUAUAACCCUAGCGUCAUCGAACCUUAAGUGUGUAGACCCUACGGGUUCGGGAGACAGGCAGACAUGACCGAGACACCUCUCUGGCCAAUAACCAUCAGCGGGGUCUGGAUACCCAUGGUGGCUCCCACUUGCUCCACGNNNNNNNNNNNNNNNNNNNNNNNNNNNNNNNNNNNNNNNNNNNNNNNNNNNNNNNNNNNNNNNNNNNNNNNNNNNNNNNNNNNNNNNNNNNNNNNNNNNNNNNNNNNNNNNNNNNNNNNNNNNNNNNNNNNNNNNNNNNNNNNNNNNNNNNNNNNNNNNNNNNNNNNNNNNNNNNNNNNNNNNNNNNNNNNNNNNNNNNNNNNNNNNNNNNNNNNNNNNNNNNNNNNNNNNNNNNNNNNNNNNNNNNNNNNNNNNNNNNNNNNNNNNNNNNNNNNNNNNNNNNNNNNNNNNNNNNNNNNNNNNNNNNNNNNNNNNNNNNNNNNNNNNNNNNNNNNNNNNNNNNNNNNNNNNNNNNNNNNNNNNNNNNNNNNNNNNNNNAAAUCCCGAUCUCGAUUCGUACCAACCCAACAGACACUUUCGGAGGUACCCGUAGUGCACCUUUAUAGUCACCCAGUUACGUUGUGACGUUUGAUACACCCAACGCACUCCUACGGUAUCCNNNNNNNNNNNNNNNNNNNNNNNNNNNNNNNNNNNNNNNNNNNNNNNNNNNNNNNNNNNNNNNNNNNNNNNNNNNNNNNNNNNNNNNNNNNNNNNNNNNNNNNNNNNNNNNNNNNNNNNNNNNNNNNNNNNNNNNNNNNNNNNNNNNNNNNNNNNNNNNNNNNNNNNNNNNNNNNNNNNNNNNNNNNNNNNNNNNNNNNNNNNNNNNNNGCUAUGCUUAGGAUUGGUUCUUGUCCAUCACAUCAUUCUCCUAAUGAUGUGAUCCCGUUAUCAAUGAUAUCUAAUGCCCAUGAUCAGGAAACCAUGAUCAUCUAUUGACUAACGAGCUAGCCAACUAGAGGCUUGCUAGGGACACAUUCUGAUCUAUUUAUUCACACAUGUAUUAUUGUUUCCUGUUAAUACAAUUAUAGCAUGAACAAUAGACGAUUAUCAUGAACAAGGAAAUAUGAUAAUAACCAUUUUAUUAUUGCCUGCUAGGGCAUAUUUCCAACAAAUGCAUACAAAGUGCAUCCACCAGUGUUUACUAAACAGUUGGGAAGGCCCAAGAAGAACAGGAAGAAGACACCAGAGGAGAAGAUUAAACAUGGUGUAAAGGUGUUGAACAGGAAGGGUGUUUCAAUGCACUGCUCAAUUUGUGGCAGAGCAGAUCAUAACAGGAAGGGGCGCUACAAAUGGCAAGAAGCUCUCAUUCAAGAGGGAGUGGAGGUGUUUGAUGAAAAUUAUGAUGACCCAUCAUUCCUACAGGCAUAUUAAACUUAAACUGAACAUGUAACUGAACUUCAUAUUAGACUGAAACUGAACAUGUAACUGCACUUCAUAUUUGCAGAACAUCUACCCCAAUCAGGCAGAUCCUCUUUUGGAUCCAAUUGAAUCACCAACAAGUAUGGUCUACAACAUGGCUCAGAGGGAGCUUGCUAGAAGGCCUCCUAAUAGGGUUCAUGGUCCACUACCAAAGCAAUCAUCUUUUGUUGCUUUUGUUGGGGCUGCGAUACCCCAGCCUAGGGUGACUACAGAAAUGAGUACUACCAGGCUGACCAAGUCUACCACAACACUUGAUAUAGGUAAAACAUCUCAACCUUCUACAAGAGCAAGGAGAAGGGCAAGAGGAGCUGGUGCAGGUGUAGGCAGGGCAAGAGGAGUUGGUGCAGGUGCAGGCAGAGCAAGAGGAGCUGGUGCAGGUGCAGGCAGGGCAAUAGGAGCUGGUGCAGGCAGAGCAAGAGGACCUUAUGCAGGUGCAAGCCUAGAAACAGGAGUAGAUCCAUUUGCAGGGCCAGUUAAUCCAACGGGAAGCUGAGGAAGGGGAGCGUUUUCAUCAGGAACUACAGCUGGAAGGGGAAGAGGGGCAUACUGGCUCCUCUUUGGAGAUGAUAGGAGCAUUCCAGAUCUUAAUGCUCUUCCUGAAGAUAUGGUGCCUCCACCUCUGUGGUUUCAUGGAAGUUGUAUGUGUCAUUUUGAUAGGAGCAUGCUUGAUGUUAAUGCCCUGCUAUGAUGUAACCUAAUGGCUUUAAGACAUGUCUUUAGAAAUAUUGCAAAAAAACAGGAAUGAUGGUCUUAGUGGUGGUGAAAAAUGUUGGAAUAAUGGUCUUAUUGUGGUGCAAAAAUGUUGGAAUGAUGGUCUUAGUGUGGUGCAAAAAAUAAAAACACUUAGGAUGCGGUUAUACUAGGUGCAAGAAAUUGUUGGAAUAAUGGUCUUAGGAUGCAGUUAAACUAGGUCCAAGAAAUUGGCAAAAAUUCAAAGACAAAAAUGUUUUCCCUCGGGCUCGAACCCAGGACCUGUAGUUUGCAAGAGAGAGUGCAAUGCCAGUAGGAUAGGAGUAGUGAUUUGUUAGCCUACUGAGUUAGGUUGAAGUUAUGAAGACAUGUUCUGCCGCUAAUGUUGUCCAAUCCCCACUACUAGUAACACUGUAUUUAUUAACCACCGCUAACGCUGCCCAAUCCCCACUACCACUCCCUAUUACUCUCUUGUGCCACCACCGAAACCACCGCCAACCAUCGCCGCUGUCGCCAUGGAGCACAGUCUCGGCUGGCAGAAAGCAAUCGAAGACCUAGACGGCAACCACGUCUAGAUACAUUAGCAAUAUCGGGAGAUCGCGCGCUGGUUCCCAUCUGUGCAGAUGAUGAGGAACCAUGCACGCGGCCUUGUGAAGGUCAUGAUGGAGGCUGAGAAGCUUCGUGCAUUCCCCGACUGCCAGAGCCUCCCAGCCGCUACCGUCCUCCUCUGGGCAAUGAGGGAGGCGACGAACUCCCCCGACCCCGCCAGCGGGCCCGCUGGUGGAUGUACCGCUCAUCCACCACGUCGCCGAUGCCGGAUGUUGAGCGUGUCGCGUCAAGGGCAGAGCACGUCUCCGACGUCGUCUUUGCUCUCCCAGCGCCCGUCAACACCCGCUACUGGGACCGCCUGCAUCCCUCUAUCCUGUUGGAGCCUUCGGACGACUCCGACGACGAGUCGUCUGACGACUUCGUCAUCCCUAACGAUGAGGAAGAGGCAAAGGUGGAUAUGGUUGGGUCGGUCGUCGCCGUAGUCAAGGGGGACAAAGAAAUCCCCAUUGAUGUGGAGAAGCUGCCGGAUGUUGGAGAUCUGGAAGAAGCUGUUGUCAGUGUGAAGAAAGAAGUUCAGGAGGAGGAAGAGUUGAUGUCAGAGAAGAAAUGCGAGAAGAAGAAGAAGAGCCCCAUCCCUGUCAAAGUGCGCCGCUUCGAACGUGUCAAGAAGCUGCAGGAGUGAAGAAGAAGAUGCCCAAGAAGUGAAGAAGAAGAUGCUGAAGAUGUUAGGUAUGCUUGUAUAUGAAAAGCAUAUAAGUUAGAAGUAUUGAGUCAUCUGUAGUUUAGGUGUGCUGAUAUAUAUGACAACAUAUAAGUUACAAAUAUUGGGUGAUCUCUAGUUUAGGUAUGCUGGUAUAUAUGACAGCAUAUAAGUUAGAAAUCUUUUGGACUCACUGGUAAGGUUAUGUUAAGAGAAUCCUCUGGUUAUUGCUAUGGAUAUAAGUAGCAAUGCAUGGCUACUCUUGUUUCAUUCUGCAUGUGUAUACAUUGCUUCUCAUGUUAUUCCUAUGGAUAUAAGUAGCAAGAGGCCUCAAGUAGCAAUGUGGUCCACUUACUAGAAUGAGAAAAAUUGAGGUUUCAUAGAAUGUCAAAGAAUUCCACCACAGAUACUGCACCUCAUGUGUAGUUAGGUUAAAAAGAAGAUCACUUACAUUCAUGUGUAGUUAGUUAAGUAUAAACAAAUUCAGAUCACUGCAAAUAACAAAUCAGUCUUUUGGAUAAACAUAAAGCCUAAGAAUUCAGCAAAUGAGUCAGGUUACAUUAUAUAAGUUCACCAAAUAAGCCAACAUUACUAAGCUCUCAGCAAAUAAUACAUCCAUUCAUCACUCAAAUUCAUCUAAUAUCUCCCUGACCUUCCUUAACUUUGAUUUUGUCUCUUCCUUAUGCUUGAAUAGGUCACCAAUCAUGUACUCUAAUUUCUUUUUCUCUUUCUUCAACUCAUCCCUCUCUUGCAUCACUUUGUCCAUCUCUUGCAUCACCUCAUCCCUCCCUUUCAUUGUUUUUCCCUCUCCUGCUUCAUGAGCUCAAGAUCUUGCUUCAUUAGCUUGCUAUCUUUCUCUGCCUUAGCCCUAAAUACCUGAUGAAUAUUUGUGGCAGAUUUGUCUGAAGUCCUCUUCUUUUGUAACUCUUUCUUUAGGUCACUAAGAGCAAUCUGUGUGUUUCCUAGCUGAGCCAAUGCCUGCUCUUUGUCAGCUACCAUCUUAGCAAAAUCAAGCUUGAAAAACCUUAGAUCUUUUUCCAUCUUCUCCUUCUCUUUCAGCACCUUAAAAUUUCCUUCUGCAUUAGCAAGAUUAUCAGAAAGCCUAAGCUUGUUCUCAUCUUCAUACAUGUCCCACAGCCUACCCAGUGUAGUCUUCAACUGAGGAGGCCACUCUGGGUCAACCCACUCCACAUAGCCACAUUUAGGUCCUUCCUACAAAUUACAAAACAGAAAGACAAUUCAGUUAUUUGAAUAAGGUGGCUUAUAUGAAUUAAACAUUCUGUUAUCUGAAUAAUAAACAUUUUAUUAUCUGAAUAACUAUCCAUUAUGUUAACUCAAUAAUAAACAUUCUGUUAUCUGAAUAAUAAACAUUCUGUUAGCUAAAUAAUAAACAUUUUGUUAUCUAAAUAAUAAACAUUCUGUUAUCUCAGCAACAAACAUUUUGCUAUCUGAAUUCAUAUUUAGAAAUAACAUAUUUUGCACAUUACAAAGAUACAUAAAAACUGAUUGACUAUUAUAAGCAAAUUUACAAAAACCUUUUGUGCACAACCUGUAGAUCUGAGCUACAUAAAUAAGUUUAGAACAACCAGAAUAUAUAAAAUGUGUAGAUCUGAUAAUCCACUAACCUUUUGUGCACAACCUAAGAAUCUUCUGCCACUAUCCACUGACUGAAAGGCAACAUAUUUCUCACAUAUGGCUUCGUGUUCACAUCUAGCACUUAGAUCUGCAGUUAGGCCUCUCCAUUCCACGCACAAAUGGUUGGAGGAGCCUAAAAGAGAAUCUGGUGAGAAAAUCCCCAAUGUGCGUGGAGGAGGAGUAUGAUCCCUAAAUGAAGGAGGAGGAGAAGAACAGGAGCUAACCGGGCUGCUGAUAUCGCUGUCCGAGGAGGAGGAGUAUGAUCCCUCGCUCCAGGAUACCAUUGCUGCACGCGUGGACCUUGUUGGGGAGAAGAACAACACAGAGGCUGGGGGAGAAGAAAAACAGAGAGGGCGGGGGCGACGGGAGUGUGAGGUUUUUGUCUCCGGCUAGGGGGUAAGUAAGCAGAGAGGUAGAGGAGGGGGUUUUAAUCAAUUCAUGUGUUUCUCAGAUACCGACAGGAGAUGAUUAAUAAGUAACAAAUGCAAGGGGCUGUGUGCAAAACGACCCACUCUGACCCACACUGUCCAGUUGGCACGUUCUGAUUGGCUGUGGACUAAGAUUGCACAUGAGUUAUAAGUUGUGGGACUAAAUAAAUUUACUUUGCAAGUUGUACGACCAAAUCAUCACAUCAAGCGCAAGGUCUAGGACCUGUGAUGCUAUUAUAAAAAAAACUGCGUAGCAUACGUACGUGGCACAGGUUUUAAGAGGAUCACGCAUGGGCACCCAGAGGUACAGGGAGCGAACCGAAGGCGCAGCGCACAGAGCAGCUAUCAAGAUUGAGGGGGUGUUUCUUUCAAGGGACUUUUUGGUGUAGGGACUAAAAAAAGUCCCUUUUAGUCCCAUGUGAAAGAAACAUGAGGGACUUUUAGGGACUAAAAGGAGGUAUUUUGAACUAAAGGAAGAAGUCUCUAUGGGAGGGACUUUUUGAGAUUUUUUUGACACUUUUUCCAACAGUGCCCCUACUUUUAGCAUGUCAUUUAAUAACUUCUAGUACUUCCUCCGUUUCAAAAUAAGUGUCUCAACUUUGUACUAGCUCUAGUACAAAAUUGUACUAAGCUUGAGACAGUUAUUUUGGGAAGGAGGGAGUAUAUUACUAGGGGUAACAUGAUCUUUUUGCAUGUCAUUUAAUGACCUCUAGUUCAUGUUUAGUCUUUGAAAAGAAACGGGUAGAGAAUAGAGACUUUUAGUUGGGAUUAAAAAAGUUCUAGGACUUUUUAAAGAAAAGGGCCUGAAGCUGUAGGGUAGGUAGGUACGACGAGCGAGGUAAAGCACGCGAAUGAUUGGGCCGAUCAUACUAUUUGCAGUUGCACGCCUCGAUCUUUCUAGGAGCGGCACUGUGGCUCUGUAUCAUCACGCAUGGCAGCUACCGCAAGAUUCGACAUCUUCUCCCUGGCUAGCUUUGACAUCAGCAGGCAAUAGCAUGGCUUCCUAGUGAGAUCGGGAUCAGAUUUUUGUAACGCGAUCUUUGCGAACUGUUGCCAGAUGCCGUAAAAGGCUCAGGGAAAGAUCGACAUGCAUGCACAUAUAUAGUGAGCUACUCCUAGAAGGGUUAGGGUUAGGCCCAGUGAUCGAUCGAAUCCAUCGUCAUGUGAUAUCAUAUGAUUGAUCCAGAUCUCACAGUCACAGGCUGAGGUGAAGGCUGAGACAGACGUAGCCUAGGGCUGGUUUUUAGGCCUCGUUGAUCUAUGAAGUGACUGAAUGAAACCGGUGACAAGAAGAGCAUCUCCGUUAACAAGCAGCAGUUAUCGCCGUCCUUGCCGGAUGUUGCCACCCCGGCCGGCGGCCGGCCAGAUCGACACAGCUCGUAACUGUAUUGGUACAAUCAGACUGACAGACACGUCGGGAAACAGCCUCGUCCUGCACAAGGCGCGCCCGACAGGCACUACUGAUGCUUCACUGCCACAUAGAGUACACACCAAUUAAGCGCGCAGGGUAAUGUCGCACGGAUCGAUCGACGCAAUCAUUGGACCAAUGCUGCAGUCAUCGCCUUGUGCGGCGGUGGCCGUGACAUGAGCAAAGCUGUGACGAGUGACUGAGUUCUGAAGAUGGCGACUGUGCGCACACUGCAUGCCUGAUUAAUAUUACUCCCUCCGAGUUCUUAAAUAUAAGCAUUUUUUAAAAUUUUAAUAUAGAUUAGAUGAGAAACAAAAUGAGUGAAUCUACGCUCUUAUAUAUCCACCUUUUUGGUUUAUAGUGCUCAAAUCUAAAAUCUCAUCAACCAAAAUGAAUUGCAAAUGGAUGGCACUAGUUUUAGCUAGUCAAUAAAAUAUUUCUCACAUAUUAAUUUCCGAGGCAAUAAAUGUAGCAUCCUCCUUCUCAUUGGAAUUGCAUGAUUGAUGUAGAAAAAGAUGCAUGCAUAGCCACUAAUUUCAUUUCUCUAAUCUUUAUGAAUUAAAUAUAGCGAUGGGACUCAAAGCAUUUUAACUCAAUUAGAUUCAAAAUGAGCCUAAUAUAAUAGAAAUCUGAAAUUUUUUAGAUGAACCCUAUAAACCGAAAAGGACGAAGCACAUCUAUAUACAUUUGUAUGUAUUUUCAUAUUAAAAUCUCUAUUUUUCUAAAAAAAAAUAAAAUCUCUAAAACAACUUAUAUUUAAAAAAGGGAGAAGUGGUAUUAAGUCGAGUGAACAACCGUUCCAGCCAUCCAUUGGAUUUGGAAGGCCUGCACUCAACCAGAAAAGUUUUACAGAGAAAGACCUUUUUACCUUGAAGAUUACACAUGUGUGAUGUGCAAUAACUUCAUCCUUGAAUCUGGAGAUCACCUUUUCUUCGGUUGCACGUUUGCACAACAUUUUUGGAAACACAUAUGCCCAAGUUGGACACCGGUGGAUAGGGAUAUUCAGGUUCAGAUUUCCAACGUGCACACACACCUCAACUUACCAUUUGCUAUGAACAUAAUCAUCCAUGUCUCAUGGGCAAUAUGGAACAUUAGAAAUGACUACAUCUUCAAGAAUAUACCUCCUAUCCUUUAUGCAUGCAGGAAAAAAUUGAAGAAUGAACUCCAAUGGCUGCUUCAUGGAGCUACUAGAAAAUCCUUUGCGACAAUGCCACAAUGGUUAAAAGACUUCAGAUAACUACGUGCAUGUAUGGUUAUUUUUAUUUCUUCAUUCUUUUUGUUCACCCUUGGGUUUGUACCAAGAAUGGUUGUUGUAUGGGGAUGACUGUAUUUUCUUCUUCUUUAUUUCCUUGCUUUAUUUAGAACUUUGUAUUAUUUAUUAAAUAAUAAUAAAAAUACGUAGCAGAGUCCUGUUGUUUCCCUAAAAAAAAUUGAGUGAGCGGACGCCGAGGAGAAAUCACCGGUGAGGUGUGUUGGCUCCCGGGUGCAUUUUAAGAUAACAAUUGAUGUUUAGUUUGUCUUUUUACGCAGGCCAAAAUGUUUGACCUUUUCGCCUAAAAAUAUCCAGGUAGCAUUUGAAUGUGGCAAAGGACACACACAAAUAUUGCUGGGAUUUUUUUCACAUUUUAAAAUUUAUUUUUGAUGGACAGGAGCACGUGCUCCCGGAAGCCGAAUUGCAUUUCCCGAGAAAUCAUCCAAUAACACAAGCAGAAUAUUAGGCAAAGCAGUUACUUAUGUGCGCAGCUGCUGCGACGAGUCAACAUUACAUGAGUUGGCUAAUUUCGCUCUUUAUGGGGCGACAAAACGCGACCUGCAGCGCUCGUUUGAUUGCCGGUGCAUCUGAGGCAAUAGCAGGUCGGGUAGUCAACCGGGCAGAAGCUGCCGUUGUAGCCAGCAUCUUUGCAUUGUUUGUCGCAAGCUCGAAGGUCACGGCAGCUCAGAUCCUUGGGCGCGGGGUAUGACUCGCAGCAUCGUUUUUCGUCCCCCAUAUCUACAUAACCAAACAUAAACUAAAUUGAUUAAGAGCAUAUGUAAGAGAUAAAUGCACAUGUGCAAAAGAUAUUUGAACACUUUUUUUAGUUGAGAUAUUUAAACAGUUGUGAUGUACUUUAAGUGUAGAAUGUUUGAUCUCGGUAUCAAGAUUCAGACAAAUGCAUAUAUAAACUGAAUGACCAUAUUUUGCUUGGACGGCUAUCAAUCGACAAGCUAUUUGUCAAUCUGCACAAUCGUAGUCGCUCUCACAUAAUUGUAGAAAACCUGAAUUCUUUACUUACCCGAGGACACGGCGCUUACCAACAACAAGACGAACAUGAAGUUGGCAGCGAUUUUGCAAGGCAUGAGGAAAACUAGAUUAAUAGGUGUUUGUUUCUUUGAGGUGUAGGGUAAACACCGGUGUAUAUGUCUGGUAGACUGGUAUAGCUUGCAAGCGUGGGUUUAUAAAGAACAACGAGAAGAUUUGAUGAGAGAGGAACACAGUUUAACAAGUUUCAAUAAAGAAUCAAUAAUUUAUUUUGGACAGAAAUCUUGACUCAAUGCGCACUAAACAAGGGGUGAUAAAUGGUGAUAGCAGACACAACAUUUAUAUUAUUUAGAUAUAGUAAUAUACAGAGCACUUGCAAUGCACGUAGGAAACCAUAUAAUCUACUCCCUCCAUUUCUAAAUAUAAGACAUUUUAGAGAUUCCACUAUAUACUACAUACGGAUGUAUGUAGUCAUAUUUUAAAGUGUAGAUUCACUUAUUUUACUUCGUAUGUAGUCUAUAGUCAAAACUUUAAAAGGUCUUAUAUUUCGGAACGGAGGGAGUAAUAUAUAUCAUAUGGUUAAUUGGAUAGGAGUAAAUAUGAGUCAAUAAUUUAAAAUUAAAAAAAUCUUCCACAAAAUAAAUUAAUUAAUUAAUAUUAAUAGCCGACAAGUUGUAAAAAUGGAAAUUAAUUAUACUACAAAUUAAUAGUAUAAUAUUAAGAGUGCCAAGCAUAUAAUAUCUAUUGGAUCUUCAAAUCCAGCUCUUUCUACAUUAAUACAGAUACAAAUAUAGAUAUCACUCCUUUCGAAAUGCAUAAAGUUAUAUCAUUAGCUUGACCUUUGUUGAACUCUACCUCAUACCUGGCCAAACGGGCCGGCACGGCACGGCCCGCCCAGGCACGAGUAUUAGUUGGGCGUACCGUGCCGGCCCACGUGCGCAGCCUCCUGGCCGAGGCACGGCACGUGAGCUAUAUGGGUCGGCUCGUCGGCACUCCAGGCAUGAUUUUAGGCCGCUUUUAGGCAGUUUUUGGACCGAUUUUAAACUCUUGGAUUAUUUUAUACGUUGUAUAUAUAAAAUAAAAUCUAAAUAAAAAAUAAAAAUGUAAACGGGUCGUGUUGUGUCGGUCCGCGUGCCCAGCCUUCAGGCCCUGGCACCGCCCAUUUAAGUCGUGUCGUGCCUGGCCCAUGGCAGGCCGUGCUGUCGGGCUCGCGGGCUGGCCUGUUUAGCCCAGCCUGUUUGUCCAGCUAUACUCUACAUAUGUAGCUCCCUCCUCCCAUUUUGAUUUUUUUUCUUCUAUGAUUUUUCUCACCGGAUUUCGCUAAAAAGACAGCGCCAGCUACCCCAAUCCUUAUUGGUUUACCAGAUAAAUUUGUGUUCUCUUUGACAUGCCAAUAGGUGUUAACUAAAUAAAUCUAUUUUUCAUGCAGGCACAUCAAUAGUAAUACGGCAGGUAAAUCAUGGGCUAACCCACUACAAAAGUAUGCACAUGUGGCAACGCAAGGGCAAUUAUCCAGUGGAUAUAGAUAUAGAUAUGCUCGUCCAUUCACUAUUAUUAACAUCAACUAGCCAAAUGUUUGGGGGGUUUUCUUUUCUGUUUUUUCGGUGGAUGUAGGAUAUCCUCGUCCAGUGGAUAUAGAUUAGCCACUGGCCGCAACCUUUGUUUCUUCUAUUUUUUCACGGUUCUUCUUUACAUUUUGUGUUCCCUUUUUUUAUACUUCCAAAUAUUCUAUAUAUAUGUAUUAGACAAACAUUUUACAUGAAAUAUUUGAAAGUGUUAAUCAACCAUUUGAAAAAUGUUAAAUGCGUAUAGGAAAAAUAUCCCUUAUGUACAGGAAAAAUGUAUACAAAAAUAUAUACAGUAUGUAUGAAAAAAAUUGUUUGCGUAUUUAAAACUUAUUACUAAAGCAUUUCAAAAAUGUUAAGUGUGUACAAAUGUAUGUUUCUCAUCCAUACAAAGAAUCUAAAAUGUAUAUCAAAAAAUGUCGAUCAUGUAUCUCAAAACAUGUUCCUCAUGUAUACCAAAUUUUACAACGUACAUUAAAUAAAUGUAGAAAUCAAAAAACAUUUAUUUUAAAAAUGUUUCUUCUGUAUUUAUAAAAGAUUAAACAUGUUAAUAAAAAUACUCCUGAUGUAUAACAAAAAUGUACAUAUUGUGUGAAGAAAUGUUUAUUGCCAUUAUAAAAUAUUUACUGUGUAUUUGAAACAAACUGACCAUGUAUUGAAAAAAAUUGGAAACUUCUAGUUACGAGAAAAAUGUACAUCGCGUAUUUGAAAAAUGGUCAAUGUGUGACCAAAAAUGUUUCUAGUGUACACUAAAAGUGUACAAUGUACACUUAAAGUAACCGAUGCAAACUGACAAAGAAAGAAAGAAAAAUGAAGAAAACUAAAAAAGGAGAUAAAACAAAUAAAACCCGAAAAUAUAAACUUCAAAUACAAAAGAAUAAAAACAGUAAAAAUAAAAAAGAAACGAAGAAAACCUAAAAAAAGUAAGAAAAAAUGAAACGGAAGAGUUAAGUAAAAAAAAUAGCAAAACAUAAGAAUGAAACAAACAAAGGAAACCAAAAAAACACUGCAAAAUAAUGAAAAUUGCAAACCGAGGAAGAGACAAAGGAAAAUAAAAAAAAGUCAAUGAAAGACAAGAAACAAAGAAAAAGUAUAGAAAAUUGAAGAAAAGCAAAGAAAACUGCAGAAAACGACAAAAUAAUGAGACGGAAAUCAGAGAAACUCGGAAAAGAAACAAAUAAAAAUAAGAAAAAAGAGAAUAGAAAAACUAAAGCAAAUAAGUGAAGAAACAAAAGAAACUUAGAGAAAGGGGCAAAUCAGUACGAACAGUCGAAAAACCCACAAGUGUGUGAACAUAUUUGGAAAAAAAGAGUAACGAAUGAACAAAAAACAUGCUAAAUGCACCAGCCCAGUAUGCUCGCUUGGGAGAAAGCACUGCAUUGAAAAUGACGUUGGUCAUCCAAAAUCACUAUUUAAGGGUUAUCCUUUGUAAAGGCCAGUUUCACCUUCUCCGGAGCUGACAAAUGGCAGUGUGGAAGUUUUUCUAUUUUUUAUAUAUUUGUUUUUCAAAAUGAUUUAUCUUCUAAACUCUACGCUUAAAUUCUGAAUUGUUUUCAUAGUUGGAUUUCUCGCAUCGAGAUCCACAAGACUAUAUUCCAUGUUAAUAGGCUUCAAUGAAAAAAAUCACAAAAAAAACCGCAAAAAAUAGAUAGAAGAAAAACCUAGCCAGAAACACGUUUUUUUCCAAUCACGGAAGCAAAUAUGUGCAUCCACAAGAAGCAAACUUGUGUCUCUCAUAAAAACAAAAAAAACAAUUUUUUUUUCUGUUCAAGAGCCACAAUUAUGUCUCUAGCGGAAGAAAAUUUGUCCUUUCAUGAGAAGCAAAUCUUUGCCAUUCAUGAAAGCAAAAACAUGUUUUUCCAUUUUUUGGAGGCACAGACGUGCCUUUCACGAAAGCAACUAUGUACCGUCAUCAAAAGCAAAUAUGUACCUCUUGUUUAAGAAUAAAAAAAAAAAUCUGUUUUUUUGUUUUCUAAUUUUUUCCUACAAAAUCAUCAAAAACAAGGCAAAACCCGAAAAAAAAAAAGAAACAUCUGAACACCGAAAAAGCAUACAGAAGAAAAUAUCCGGAGGCAGCGCCCAGCACGUGACACAUGGUGGCGGUUGCCGCACUCUCAGUCUAUGAAAAUUGACCCUUGAGGUUAGUUUCUCUACUGCUCACCGCUUAACAAAGAAGAAAAAUAAGGAUGUUGCUUUCGCUAUUCUUCGCUAGGAGCAUUUAGCAAAAAUCGUGCAGGAGGGCAGAUUUUAUGGCCGCACAGUUGGAUGAGAACGGUAUGGGUAGAUGCGGUUCUAUUAUGUUUCUUCGGCAUUCUUCUUUCGUUUUUUUUAUUUGUUUUCGAUGGCUUUUUAGUUGUUCUUUGGUUAUUCUCAUUUUCGCUUUUACCUUAUUUAAAAACUGAUUAACAUUCCAAAAUCAUAAGAAACUUAGUGUACUUGUGUUUUGUUUUUAAAACAUGAAUUAUUUCCUAAAGUUCGAAAAUAUUUCUUAAAUUUUAUUUAUUUUAUCAGAAAAUAUUUCUAUUUUAUAUGCAUAGACAUUUUUGGAUUCAUCAGAGUUUUUAAAAUAAAUUAACUAUUUGAAAAAUCAUGCUUUUCUAGAAGCAUAAAAUAUUUAGCAAAUUAUCAAACUUGUAAAAAAAUCAUGAAUAUAUUUGGAAUUAAUACACAUCUUCUAAAUCUUGUAACAUCUGGUAGUUGGUAUGCAUCCAACAACUAAUGGAUUUUUCUUAUCGAGGCAAAUAGCAGCCUUUUUCUGCACCAUGCCAUAAUAUGAGAAAAAAUUUAUUGCUGAGAGAACGAGCCAGGCGGAGCUAAAUAGAUCAGCCCAGCUGGGCGUUUUAGCUCCUACCUAUCCCUCUUAAGAGUCACGAAUAUAUAUCGUUUACCACUUAAAAACCGAAUAUAUCGUUUAUAGCAUGUUAUGUGGUUCAGUUGCCUAAAUGUGUUUUCGUGUCGCAUUACAAUAGGCCGGUCCAUUUCACCUUGCUUAAUAGCUUGCUUCGGAAUCUAUAAAUGGCUUGCUACACUGUUUUUUUGUUCGUUUUUAUUCUGUUUAAUUUUGGGUUUAUCCAUUUUGUGCUUCUCUUUUCGGUUUCUUCCUGAUUUCCUUUGUUUUCUAUAUAUUUUUCUCAUUCAUUUCACAAUAUUUAAUGGAUUUUCUUUACUUUCUAUCUGAUUGGUUUCUUUCUUUUCUUUCCUUAUUUUUUCUUUUUAUGUUUUAUUGGUAUUCUUCCUUUUCUUUUGUAAAAUUUAUGUGUGCAGCAGGAAAAACAAUUAUGUGCACAAACUUUUUCAAAUAUAUGAUUAAUUUAAGAAAACAUAUUUUUUAUGUGUCUUAUAUUUUUAUACGCAAUGUACAAAACAAUAUAUUAUAUAUCUGGAAUAUUUGGAAUUGUAAGUAAAAUAAAAAAUAAAGCAAAAAAUAUGUAAACAAGUGAAAACAAGAAGCGCUUUUGAGGCCUGUGACCUCCCGUGCACAGGGUCCGCCAAAGCUCACGCAUGCUUCAGGCAGGCCGUCCAUAUAUCUUGUUGUAAGCGAGAUAUAGACACAUGUGUUCGAUUAAACCCAAUGUCAUUGGAAUGAAUCGGCCAAGGCGUACAACACGAAACCCGUUUCCUGGUGAAAUCACUAAUUUAAGAUUACUUCUUUUAAAGAUCACUUUCACCAACUUAGAUUAAGAUAAGUUGUGCACUACAUGUGUGUCACUUGUCGCAACCUGAGAAUUUCCCUUUUUCGUGAAUUUGUAUUUUAAAAAUGUUCUAUCGUUUAAACCGUGCGGCCAAAUCUUAAUCCGUUUUCACCAUUGGGUUUCUCGCAUCGAGAUCUUCAAAACUAGAUUACAUGUUGAUAAGUUUUGACGAACUUUUUUUCCAGAAAAAACCGGAUGAAAAAACUAUGCAUCUCGCGAUAUAAAAAACAAAAACGCGUUUUGUUUUCCGUUUUUCAAAAUCCCGUCUUUCGUGAAAGCAAAAUCGUGCCUCUCGCAGAAGAAAAACCAUAUCUUUCAUAAAAAAACAAAGAAAAACAUUUUUUUCUAUUUUCGAGAGGCAGGGUCGUGCCUCUCGCAAAGGCAAAACGUGCCUCCAGGGAAGCAAAAUCGUCUCUCUAAAAAACAGAAAACAAGUUUUUUUGUUUUUGAGAGGCACGGUUUUGCCUCUUGCGAAAGCAAAACUAUGCUUUUCAGGGAAGCAACACCGUAACUUUCGCGCAACAAAAAUCAAAAACACAUUUCUUCCGCAAAAAUGAUUUUUUUUCUCCUCAAAAGGCUAAGGGAGACCUGUGAAAAUACGAAACACAAUAAACCCCGAAAAAAGCAAUCUAAAAAAUCGAAAAUGCGUUCGGAGAAAUAAAAAAAUCUGAAAAAAACACUCAGAACGCGACACGAACGCGACACGUGACGACGGCUAAAAACACACCAAAUAACGACGCGUGAGAAUAAUCGCUGAGAGACUUUCAAAAAAGUGCUUCUUAACUGGUUGCUCGCCUUUCAUGGUCAUUGGCGGUACCCGUAACCCCAUUAUUUUGUCUCCCAAAGGACACACAGCUCGUGUGGCGGAUCCUAUUCCCCGGACAGGUGGCGGGAUAGCGAACUAACGCGCACCGCACCCACACAAAUAUGCCGGCUCUGUGUUCCUUUACUAUUAUUUUUUCUGUCUGUCUUUUUUGGAGUUUUUCUUGUUGUGUUUCGUUUUAAUUUUUGGUUUUUAACUUCUUUUAUUUCAAAUUCAUGAAAAAUUUCAAACUUUAUAAACUUUCCUUCAGAUCACCAAUGAAAAAAAAAAUCAGGAAGUUUCUCGAAAAUUGCAUAUACUUUUGAAAUCCAUGAUGUUUUUUGAAUAUCUAGAAUAGAUAUAAAUUCUUAAAUAGUUUCCAAACUCCUGAACAUUUUUAAAAGUCUCAUACAUGUUUUAAAAUUCAUGAACACUUCUAAAUUGCAAGAAGUUUUUCCAAAAUUGUGGACAUUUAUUGAUAUCACAUCUCUCUUGCAAUUCAUGAAUAUUUUUUGAAAUUUAAGUAUUUCUUGAAAUUCCUGAAUAUUUUUAAAUUUACAAUGAUGUUUUGAAAUCCAUGAAAAUAACUUAAGCUACAGAAGUUUUGUUAAAUUCGCAAACUUUGAACGCCACGAACAUUUUUUGAACUCACGGAUAUUUUUUGAUAGUCCUAGUUUUUUGCUAAAUCAUGAAUAAUUUAUUCAUUCGUGAAUAUUUUUUGAACUAGUGAGCGAUUUAUGAUAUCCAUGAACUGUUUUUUGAAUUUAUGAACAUCGUCAAUUUGAAAGAAAAAAAAUAGCAACACAUACACUAGGGAGCGAUACAUGCACACUUGUUAUUGCGUUUGCCCACUAGUGCUGGCAUUGGGGAAGAGGUGCACGUUUGCCACAAAGACUACAUUUCACUUAUAGCGAGUGUGGUUUUCCGUCUAGGCUGAAAGGUUAUAGCGAGUGAGGUUUUCCGUCUCGGUUGAAGAGGUUUUCUCCACUGUUGUAGCUGGACCAGCCUGUUUGGAUAUAGGAGUAUAUUUUCCUCGCUGGUUGUAGUCUUUGUGCAGCCAACAUACAGAUUCGGUCCGGUUCUUUCCUUUUAGUUUUAUUUCAUUUUUUGCCUUUUGUUUUACUUUGUUUCUUCAUUGGUUUUUUAGUUUUCUGUUUUCUUGUUUUUUUGUCAGUUUUCCUGGUUUCUUUAUGUUUUUCAUUGGUUUCUCUUUUCUUUCAUUUUUCCUUUUUUUUCUUUGUUUCUUUGGAUUCAUCAAGUUUUUUAUUUUCGUUCUUUCUUCUAUCUUUCUUUCUUGGUUUCAUUUUCUUUCUUUGUUUUAUUUGUUUCUUUUUCUGUUUUCUCUCAUUCUAUUCUUUCGCACUGGUUUUAUUUGUUAUUGUCAUGUUUCCAUAUUUUUCUUUGUUUUUGUUGAUUUUUAUCAGGGUUCUUUUUUGUUCAACACCUGUCUACCUUUUUCAGUUGACAUUGACUAUUUUUCAUCUACGUUAGAAAUCUCCCCUAAUAAUAAAGCACGGAACGCUUCUGCUGUAUGUCGUCGGCUUUUUUUGCAAAAAGGCCCCUCUGUUUAUUGAAAAUCAACCCGUGGUCCUUUUGUAAGUUAAAACCGUUUCGUUCAGGCUAUUUUCAAGUUUUGACACACAGAGCAGAGGAAAACAGGGAGCUCAAGUUGGUGCAGACCACUGUCCCGGUGACGGUGAACUUGAUCUGCGCGAUCUCCCGCUGGAUGUGGUCGAAGAAGGCCUUGUUGAGCCUGGGGCGGAGCCUGCCGAUCUCGAUCUCGAUCUCCCGCGCGCCGCCAUUGUCAGCAUCAUCUUGUCAGGUGUCAGCUCAGCUCAGGCCGUGCUCGGCGGACGGAAUGAAUAUGGAUUACCUCGCGCUCCUUGCGGCGGCGCUCCUGCUCCUCCUUGACCUGGAGGUCGAAGGCGGCGCGAGCGUCGGCGGCGCUGUCGAGGUGGCGCCGGAACUCGAGCCGCGCGAUGUGGCCCGGCUGCGGCGACGCCAGGAUGUUGUCCGGGUCCUGCGUGCGUCCCAGAGCGAGCGCGUCGGUCAGCACAGCACCGGGCAGACAAUCAAGCGUUGGUGAUGGUAUUCGUACGUACCCAUCCGAUGCAGGAGAUCUUGUUGGCGACGGCGCGGCGGGUGGUGGGGGGCCGGCGGGAGGCGGGGCGGGGUGCCAGGAGUGGGAAGCGCUGGAGGAUGGCGCCGAGGGAGGAGGAGGUGGUGGACGCCAUGGCCGGAGCAGCCGCGCAUGAGGAUGGAAUGGACGUUAUCCCUUCGCGCCUAUCGUACAACGGAUGGAGUGUUAUGAUUGUCCGCUUGUAGAGCUAGAAAAGUACAGAUUCGAACUACACACUUGCGUGGUGAAUUCGGCCGGCUGCAGCAGUGCAGGUGGUUUGUCCGGAGAACCUCCUUGGCUGCCUCAGGCGACGCGACGACGACCAUCCGUACGCGGCCGAGCUGCACCUGCACGACCGGCCCGUAAUUCUGGGUGAGCGACUGGAAGUACCGGUGUGGCCGGCCGCCGAGCUGUUGCUACCGCCGCUGAAGAACAAGUAGGGGACAGGUAGGAGAAGGAGCGAUAAUACGAGCGGCGGAAGAGGCCCCAUGGUGAUGGGUUGGGAGAAGAUGGAGCCAUGGUGACGUUCUGGUGUUCUUAAUGCGGGGCGGAUGAUGGCUGCCAUUGCUCAAGUAAGACAAGACUAAAUGGUAGUGAAGCCCGUGUGUAGGGCUGUGUUGUUUUUCUUAUAAAAAAACAAUCUAUAUCUAUAUCUAUACCUACUAAUUUACUUAUAUAUCUCUCCCUAAUAAUAAAUCGGCUACUCCUUCUGUCGUCCGUCGUGACGGUUUUGCAAAAAAGCCCCUAACGUUUUGUGUAUUCAACCCGCACUACCAAUUUAAGUGGAAAAAACGAUUCAGUUUUACACAAACCACCCUUCUCCCCAGUUCACGACCGCGCGUCUCCUCUUCUCCUCUUAUCCAUUUCGGUUGCUCAUAGCGGUCUCCGUCGUGACGCCGACGACCGCCACCGCCGGGCCAGGCGCCGAUGGAGAUGCCCCGUGCCGCCAUCGCAGUGUUGUUCUUCCAGGCCACCCUCGGGGAAGAGGAACGGUGUCGCGUUGGUGCAACUGAAUCAAACGGGGGCCUGCCAGGACGGACCAUGCGGGGGAAGCAGAACGGAAUCGUGGGCCGCUGCGCUGGAUGAUGGGGAGCCCCUCUCUCCCCGGUGGGGGUUGCUGCUUGAUGGGGGCAGCAGGACCAUGUGUGGAGUGGCGCUCAGUUGGUUGCCAGAUUUGGCAUUCAUCGGCGAGUUGCAGCGCGACUUGCUGCGUAUGGGCCCGUGUCUGAAGGCGAGGGGUGUCUAGGCGUGUGGCGGAGGCGCGCAAGGAUGGCUGGCUUAGGUGACGGCUUGGAUGGUUUGGCCACGGAUGUGGGAGUGCCGAAGCCUUCUCCAAGCUCGUCCAUCUUCUCAAGAAAUCAAUGGCUAUCUCUGGAUAGAGAAGUGGCUCUAGGUGAUGGAUAGGAAGAUAGAGGCAGAGCGCUCACCAUUUCAACGUCGGACAAAAAACAUAGUUCAUCAUAGUUCAACGACAGACAGUGCAAACUAACUAAAACAUAGUUAAAAUAUAAACACAAUGACGAAGGGUGGAGAAAAUCACCAUUUCCUUGUUGUCCCCUUCCCCUUCCAGUCAUCGACGUGGUUGUGCCCCUCCUCCGUGUAGGCGUCGGCGUGCGAUGGAGCGUCGUCAUCAGAGCUAGAGGUGGAGCCAUCUGUCAGGUCGGAGUUGGAGCUCCACUCAUGCCCGACAACCUGUGGAGCAGGCUGUCCCGCUCCUUUGCAUGACGGGUCACCUUUAUUGUCGUUGUCGCCUCUUUGUUUGAGCCCUGAUGAUGGUGUCAAGGAAAGUAGACGCACACACAAACCCUGAAAUUUAUUUCAUACAUGUUGCAACGCACGAGCUAUUUUACUAAAAUGUUAGCUUUUAUUAAGAAUAAAAAAAUUCUCAUGUUUAACCAUAUUAUCAAUGUUUAUUAAAAUUUGAUAAAAUAAUGCAUAAUUACACAUGAAUCAGGUUAUGUUCAUCUUUUCGUCCGGUGCAACGCACGGGCAUUUGUACUAGUAUAUUUUAUAUACAUGUCUAACAUAUUGAAAUACAGGACUAAAAUCUAUUCAAAACUUAUAUUUUGCGAUGUGUACUUUUCUCAGUACAAAUUAUACUUUUUACAUACUCCCUCCGUUCCUAAAUAUAAGUCUUUCUAGAGAUUUCACUAGUGGACUACGUACGGAUGUAUAUAGACAUGUUUUAAAGUAUAGAUUCACCUAUUUUGCUUCGUAUGUAGACCCUUAGUGAAAUGUCUUAAAAGACUUAUAUUUAGAAACGGAGGGAGUAAUACAUUUUAAAUAAACAUUUAACAGUUUUGGACAUAAAAUAAAACAUAUUUUGAACAAUGGUUGACAUUUUUCAAUCCGCGGUGAACAUUUUUCAAUGGCAAUAACAUUAUUUCACAUACAAUGGAAAUAGAAAACAAUUCACGUACAAUGUAAAAAAAAUUCAUACAUCAGGAAUAGUUUUUAUUUACAUGUUUAACAUUUUUAAAUUUAAUUAUAUGUUUUUUGAUGACUACCUUUAUUUAAUGUAUGUUGUACUUUUUUCUACACACCAGGAACAUUCUUUUAUAAACAUUUGACAUCUUUUAAAUACACUAUCAACAUUUUAUCGUACAUAUUAUAGUUUGUGUAUAUAUUUUUGGUAUACAUGACAAAUAUUUCUUCUUUAGAUAUUUAACAUUUGUUCAAAUGCUAGAUUAAUAUUUUUCAAAUGCUAGAUUACAAUUUUAAAAAACAAUAGCUAAUUUUUUUAUACACAUUGCACAUGUUCUGUUUACAUUUUUAGUAUACAUGAGAAAUAUUUUUAUUAUACACAUUUAACAUUUUUUUCAUAUGCUUGGUUAAUAAAAAAAUCAAAUGUUUUAUGUAAAGUUUUGUAUGUAAUAUAUACUUGGUAAAUUUGAAAGUAUAAACGAAAAUAUAAAAGAACAUAAUAAAAAUGAGGUAGUGGUUUGUGGACUUCCAUGCUCUAGGCCGGCCAAUUUAGGGAGGAGCCUGACAUGAGCGCACCCUACAUCUCGAUACAACCGAGACAUAGGCGCACUCGCACUUCUGCUGAGCAUCCAGCGCUUAGAUCGCUAAAUAGGGGUUCCCUUUUUUUGAGAAUUCUCACCACUUUAUUGAUCAAUGAUGUUUAUAGGUACAAGCAUUGGGUCAUGGGGCACGUCCAACAACACGUGCCUACCUAAACCCAAAUUACAAGCAAUCUUGACGAAAUUAUGAGCCUCAAAAUUAGCAAUCCGACGUUCGUGCACGUUCGUGCACUCCGAAGCGACGCCGGCUUGCUCACUUUGGGUGACAGCCCAAUAGUCUUUUCUCCAUAUCCUUCGCAUUUUAUAGUGUUCUUAUAGAAUAAAAAAUGCCCUAAUAUAUAAUGAAUGUUUUUAAAUACACACUGAACAUUUUAUAACAUACAUUGAACAAGUUUUAAUAUAUGGAGAAUAUUUUUUUAAUUUGCGCACAUGUUAGUACGGGUUUUCAAUACCAUCACCACCAAAUGUCAUAUUCUUCAACAUGCUAAGUACUCGAGACUUAAUUUCAUAUGUUUCACUAUAUGAUCUCCGUCCAAUAGAUACAAAGUUUUCAAUUGAGUUGGUGAAUGCAAGAAUCUUGGGAGCAAAAGGGAAUGAGUGACUCGAGGAAAGGAAGAAGGUAACAUACGUAGAGAGUACGAGGCGGCGUAAGUGGCAUGGAUGACGAUAGAGGAGAUGACAUAGAUGGCGAUGGUAUAGCAAGUGACACCGAUGGUGACGGACCACGCGACACGAAUAGCAUGCGGUGAGUGUUUCACCAUGUUGUCAAGUCAUGACCCGCACGUUGGAAUUCAUUUUCACAUGUUUGGAUUGUUUUUGGACACCCACGAUCUGUACAUCAAAAUGAUGCAUGCAUUUAUCUUUAUUAAGUUAUUCAAUAGAGUCCGACAAAAUAAAUAUAAAGGUCAACCAAAAGCCAGUUUCAAAGUGAAUCGCUACUACUACAUGUAUAAAGAUGUGAUCUAACCGCAUCAAUGGACACUAUCUAAUCUAGUGAACUCAAGAAGCUGCCUGCCUGGCAAGCUAACAUCACCAACUGGUCUAGGCGUCCCAACGCGCCGCAUGCACACGCUCUAGGAUCCAUCGCCGCCAUCUUCUGUCGGCCCAUCUGCAGGAGGGAUCAUUGCCUAGACCUUGCGAGCCUCAACUGUCGUCGACGUCACCACGACGCUAGAUAACGCCACCAGCCUGCGUGCGUCCAUCAAACCCCGUCCAAUGCUGAGACUUUUCUGCUCCAUGCCGUCUUCAAUGUGUUGGAAAUAUUGCCUAGAGGCAAUAAUAAAUUGGUUAUUAUUAUAUUUCUUUGUUCAUUGAUAAUCGUUUAUUAUCCAUGCUAGAAUUGUAUUGAUUGGGAACUCAAAUACAUGUGUGGAUACAUAGACAACACACUGUCCCUAGUGAGCCUCUAGUUGACUAGCUCGUCGAUCAAAGAUGGUCAAGGUUUCCUGGCCAUAGACAAGUGUUGUCACUUGAUAACGGGAUCACAUCAUUAGGAGAAUGAUGUGAUGGACAAGACCCAGACUAUAAAUGUAGCAUAUGAUCGUGUCAGUUUAUUGCUACUGUUUUCUGCAUGUCAAUGUAUCUGUUCCUAUGACCAUGAGAUCAUGCAACUCCCAGACACCAGAGGAAUACCUUGGGUGUAUCAAACGUCGCAACAUUACUGGGUGACUAUAAAUGUGUUGUACAGGUAUCUCCAAAGGUGUCUGUUGGGUUGGCUUGAAUCAAGACUGGGAUUUGUCACUCUGUGUGACGGAGAGGUAUCUCGUGACCCACACGGUAAUACAACAUCAUAGUAAGCCUUGCAAGCAAUGUGACUAAGGAGUUAGCCACGGGAUCUUGUAAUACAGAACGAGUAAAGAGACUUGACGGUAACGGGAUUGAACUAGGUAUGGAGAUACCAACGAUCGAAUCUCGGGCAAGUAACAUACCGAAGGAUAAAGGGAACAACAUACGAGAUUAACUGAAUCCUUGACAUAGAGGUUCAACCGAUAGAGAUCUUCGUAGAAUAUGUAGGAGCCAAUAUGGACAUCCAGGUCCCGCUAUUGAUUAUUGACCGGGAGUGUCUCGGGUCAUGUGUGCAUAGUUCUCGAACCCGCAUGGUCUGCACACUUAAGGUUCAGUGACGUUUCGGUAUAGUUGAGUUAUAUGUGUUGGUAACUGAAGGUUGUUUGGAGUCAUGGAUGAUAUCCUAGAUGUCAUGUAACGACUAAGAUGCGGUCCUUUCCGAUUUGGGGGUCGAGGCCCCGAAUUGGAAAGAAGCGCAUCUAAGCGUUUCACAAACAUGGUAACAUAACACAUACAUAAAUAAUAGAGGAAUGACAAUAAGGGAUUCAACUGUCAUCUCAUAAAUAUAUCAAAGUUACAUCACGCAUCCAAACAAGGUAGUUCCACUACGGACUACAAAACAAGGGAAAUGACUAUGCUACCCUGCAUGCUUGCCCACGAUCACGACCACGCCUCAAUCUUCUGGAUAGUUCACGUACAGACGAUCGUUCUCCUCAUCGUAUUGCCACGCCAGCUGCGUGUCGUCGGGAUCACCUGUCUGGGGGGUACCUGAACCUGUUGGUGUUGUGAAGGAAUCUGUGAGCCACGGGGACUCAGCAAUCUAUGACCUCGGUGCCAGAACUAGUCAAGUUAUUAGGUUGGAAGAUGGAGUGUUUAGGUUGCAGCAUCCUAAGCUUUAUAUGGUGGCUAACUUACGUAGAACAUGAAUUGAAGGUGGUCUAUUCUAGCGGUCGAUAAAAGAUGAUCAAUAAGUGAUCCUGAACACCUAUCUACGUCAAUCAUAACCCCACCGUGUUCCCGAUCGAAGAGAGAUCUUCGAAGGGGACACUCACAGUUACGCACACACUUGACAAUUUUAUUAGCUUAUGUUUAAGUUGUCUAUUACCGGAUGUUAACAAAUAUUCCAAGUUGCCACAUAACCGCGGGCACGGCUUUCCGAAAGAUUAAACCCUGCAGGGGUGCUCCAACUAGUCAAUCACAAACGUACACGGGCCGCAAAGUAAUCCUCUAUCACGAAUCUCGUGAUCUCGUCGGAUUCCUUAGAGGAAAAUCUCAACUCUGGGGAGAACCAAAGCUUCACCGGGAUUCCUAUACGCAAGAUAUAUCGCUAAGGUAAGACAAGACUAGCAGGACCUCCCGUCGUGUCGACGACCGUGAUAAGAGCCGCGUAUCUCAGUCUUAGGACACGACGGAUGAGCUAUGCGCAUGAUGGCCUGAUAGAAAUCACUCAAGUUGCCCUGAGUUGGCCCCGAAUAGUGCUCAGUUUGGACCAACACUCAUGAGGAGUACUUGCCCGGGUUGUUGAUUAAAUUCCUCGGGGUAGCUAUUCCCUAUGCAGAUUAUUAUUAAGUGAUUAGCAAAUUAACACCAAUGUUGGGUCCUCCCGGACAAGUCUUAACACUACACGAUUUAUCGAGGGGGUUCCCAUAACAACCCCGAACAUGUUAGGAGCGAUCAAUAUGGAAUCAAACACCGGUAGCCGGUAACUAAGGCGGCAAUAAAGGAACAAAACACCCGACAAAAGGCUAGGCCUUCCGUUAUUUACCAAGUAUAUAGGUGCAUUAAUUAAAUAACAGAUUUAACAUAAUGAUAUCAAACUCAUGGUAUCACAUGAGACAAUUGCACCUGCAACUAGCAACGCUAACAUUAGAAGCUUAGCAAAGCCUACCUAGCCAUUCAAGAUUUGCUAGAAAGGGAUAAGUGUUUGGGUUUCAUGGCAUAUCAGGAGGCAAUGUAUUUCAGUGGUAGGCAGCGAGCAUAUGACAAAGGAAACGUAAUCUAGCAUAACAAGUCUAGAGAUGGAAUCAAGGUCAUAUCAUCUUGCAUGUGAUAUCCUCAGCUUGGAACUGCUCUUGUUCGUCCUGCACGUACUCUCCCGAAUCCACAUACUCGUUCUCCGAUCCCGGUGCUACCCAACAUAAAAAAUAACAUCCAAUGAACAACAUCACCUCAAGAUGCAACAAGCACAUGAUGCAUGAGAUGAAUAUGACUAUGCAUCACUAUUUUACUCACUAGCCCAAGCAUGAGAAGUAAAUACAUGUUCCUGGACAGAACUGCAUCCUAAGCUAUCUUGACAUGCAUGAGAAUGACAUGAUCAGAUGCGUCUCGUGAAAACGAUGCAAAAGUAUAUAAAGAACAUAUCAAUCGGAGCUAUGGAUCAACGGGAAACAACGAAACAAGAAAUGAAGGGCUACGUGUCAAAUUCAUCACAACACACUCCAAUGGCUCAACUCUGGUAUUUCCAGGUAGCCAAGACAUAAAACAAUCCAACAUGGAUGGGGUGGUGCAAAUAAUAUCACUACACGAUCAACUAUGCACUCACAAACAUCAAAACACCAAAACUACACAAUCUGCCAUAAACAACAUCAUAGCACUUGGUGAGCUACAUGCAAAGCACCUACAGCCACCCAAAUAUGCCAAAUAAGAUAUGUGGCAGUAUCUAUCCAAUAAUACUACAAGCACAAGCAAAAAUAUCACACAAAGGAGUUAAACACAGAAAGUUACACAGCUGCAAACUUGCCCAAAAAUAUCCGAUUUCACGGACUUAGUGAAAAUUCCAGAUUCUCACCAUUUGUUUAUGCUCUGAAGCAUUUUGACAGUAGUCAAAACAAUAACUACAGGACUCCAAAUGGAAUGAAAAUUUACAGGGAGCUAUACAAACAUAUAAGCUUCAACUUUCCAGUUGAAAGCUAAGGCUGAAUCACAACACAUUGACCUGCACAAGCUCAUCUACAGGAGAAGAAAAUAUAAACAGAUUCUCAGACUUAGUGAAAAUCGAGGUAUCCCCGAGAAAAGGACUAUUCAGAUCACUAAAAGGACUAUUCGGAGCACUGACUGGGCUAUCCGGCAGUAAGCCUUCGGCCUUACAUAUUUCGUGAUAAAGAUGAGCCACGCCCGAGUCCCAAGUGACGCUUUCGUGCCCUUUUAAAUGUAAAUCUACGAAACUACCCCAGAGACUCCGGGGAGAAUCCGGGCCGAAAAACUGGUCACAAAACUCGGAAACAUUAUAGGCCGCUGGCAAAACCAUUUGUGCCUGCCGUAAGUAUAAUUCUAUCAUUUUUGUGAUUUCACAAAACACAAGCUCUCUAUUUUCGGGUGAAAUGCCAUAUAUUUGGGAAAGGAAGUCCCCGUCCUUGGGUCUCUCUAUCCCUUCCAAAAGCUGGUUCACAAGCUGUGGAUCCAACGUAUGAUGGCUAAAAUCUUUUAUAAAAGAAUGGACGUUAGAGACGCUUUGUACUGUUUGUACUGUUAAUUCUAAAUUUUCCAUUUGAGGGUAACUCCAGCUUUUUCAGCUCUGCUCCCGAAAAGAGAAAGGAGACUGAUCUUGAUGUCGGCGUUGGUUUUUCCAACGAAACAUUCUUUCACGAACUUUCAUGACAAAACAAAAUGCUAGUUGCCUAGUAACGCAUACACUGGAGCGUUUGUCCCAUCGACGAAGGCCACUAUACGCGUUUUCUGAAGAGCAACAACGGAAAAAAAUAGGUGAACCUGGAUACCAUUAAAGAGAAAGAUACAGACUAACAAUAAACAACCUUUACUUAUUCCUAUCUACACCCACACAACCGAAAGAAGAAAGAGAGAGAUCAUAAGAACGUGGACCACCUGGUCCAUCUACUUUCGAGUGAAAAGAACAGAGCGAGAAAAUGGCUUGUGCUUCUUGCACGAAUGCCUUUUUUCCUAAAAUAUAAGAGCAAGUCUCCCAACUGAGCUAUUUCGUCAUUUUCUAAAAGACUCAUUGACACGAGAGAUGCGAUGCGACAAUCUCAGUCUUACAACGACUUGGUUUACCGGAACUGCGGCCUUCACACGAUGGAAUGGCACUAUUCUAUUGAUGUCCUCAUGGGCUCCGCCAUCUUAUCGAUCGAGAAUGGUAUCAUCAUCAACUCUUUACCUUUUUAUAUGCAUUUAUUAAGAAUGCAACUUGGCGAUUGUUCUCGGAAUUCUUCUUGUUCCCAUUCUUGAAUUGAUUUGCAUGAAAAUUCAAGUAGACCUCUUAGGAAAGAAAGUGUGAGUUGACGAUUAGCGUGCGAUUGACCGACCAGAAAGGAAAUGAGUAAAAAAAUCAGACAAUCAAACAGCUAAAGGUAAAGGUAGAGACGAAGUAUAACAAGAAAUCAAGGACCUCGUGAGUACUACUUAGGCAGUCGACCUCAUCAAUUAGUCAUGCCAAUGAGAUAUCAAGCCCUCGAUUCCAACGGGGCUACGGACAAUAAAGGUCCUUUCGAGAUUCUAUUUCCCCUUGGGUCUAUCAAGCUGAACAGUUCGUGGGGAUAUAAGGAGAUCACACUUAGACAACUGUCUACACUACCCCUUUAAUGAUCUGGAUUCCAUGACGCAUAAUUCAUCUGUCCAUAUUCCUAAUUUCAUAUUCAUCACCAUUUCAAAUCGGGCAAGGAGAAGUCGUCGUGUUGGUUCUAGGAUGGAAUGAUCUUUUGAUCCAAAGAUGCCGGUGCUAAAACCUCUUGUGUCUCUUUUAAUAGGACCGCGAAGGCAAGAGCAUUGAGGAAGCAAGGAUUCUCCCAUAACUAAUUAAUGCGGGAAAAAAACAAGAUUUCACUGAAAAAAGGUGCCUAACCCCGGGAUUUUUCGAUACUUUUCUUGAAAUUGACUGGAUUUGGAAGAAAAUGCACUCAACCUAACAAAUCCUGAUCAAUUCAAGUGGUUAGUUUAAGGGGGUACAUGGGGCUGACGCCGAAGGAGAUAGGAAUGAAGUAGGGCGGGCAGCUACCGAGAGAUUGGAAUGCCCUAUCGACAGGGAAUGCUGGUACCACCUACGGUGCUUGAUAGUCUUCAUUCCAGACGGUCUCGAGAGUACCUUGACCCAUAGCAUAGGGCUUGAUGUGGCUUUGGGGCUCCCCAUAAGGUAAUAGAAUAGGUAGUUCAGGCACCAUCAUCAAUAUGUUGAUGCUAUUGUAUCAGGUUUUGAAUCAAGCAGCAAGAGUCCGACCUCAGGGUCCACCAUAGAAAGGCAUUCCUCAGUCCCAGAAUAGCAUGCAUACGGGAGCCAUAUUCCAAUCAUGUGAGCAGACUUCUUCGAUAAGCAAGCAGUUGUUCGUGUAGGCCCGGAUACAGAGGAAAGGGAGGGGAAGGUAUAGAAAUCUAUCAAAAGAGCACCUUAACGGCGAUGCCUGGAAGGAGUCCCUCUUAUUUCAGUAUAUAUGACUUCUUGUCCGCGGGACCUAACUAACUACCCGAUCGAUGGAAAAUAAGGGCAAGUCAAUACCAGAUCGCACUCAACAAAGUAAAACGGGAUGAAUUCAAUCGCCAAGACCUGCCACUGGCUGAUUCCAUAAGCACAGAAAGAAGGGUUUACGAAUAAAAAAAAGCUACUCAUUAGGGUCUCUUUUCAUAUCCGGCUAUGUGAAAACCCACGUACUCUUCUCUGAAACAGCCUACCUACCUUUUGCUUUUUCAGAUAAGUAAAUAAGCGGACCUCCUUUCCGGAGAGAAAGUUUCUACUUUACUAACCACGGGUCUUGAUCACAAAGUUCUAAGGUCAAUUCUCUAAUGAGAACAGACUCUGUCCAAAAGGGCCAUCAAGCCAACUAUAUGGAAGGACCCACUCCCACAUUCCCGCUCGUGUUCCGUUUUCCUUGUGGUUCCCAUAGUCGAAGCAGCUUAAAGAAGGUCAGGUUUGGAACUCGUGAGGGAUGUUUCGUUGCAUGUGGAUCUUCCGCGCCUACUUUGUCCUAAAUUUGGUCACCCAUGCACUUUUCUAGUUAGGGCUCGACUGGGUCCUUUGAUAAUAUAGGUAAGUCGGGCUUCUUUUUAAGCAAUAUCAUGACUAGAAUCUUGAGAGGAUGACUACGUCCUUGAAGCUACAAAGUCCAACGAAUGUUGAAUCGACGCAUGACGAAAACAAGGAAAAAGAAAAGGUGACUUCCGUUGACCAAGGAAAUCGAAAUGUAUGUGCCGGUAGAACAAAGAUACCAUUAGGUGAUAAAUUGAUGGUGCCUGCACGCACAGAUUCAGGAGAUGAAAAUUUUAGCUUCAAUAUGAGAUGACAAUGAUGCAUUCAAAAAGGAAUGAGUGCUGCCCGAGUCGACCAAGAAAAGAGGGUAACAUCAAAAUUAUGGACUACUGAGCAAGCUAACUGAAUGGAACGGAGUGCAGGAGAUUUCUGAUUAGCUUCAGCGGAGAGGACCCUUAGAUCCGAAGCAGAGUCAUCAUGGUCCUGUAACAUAGAAUAGCCUGCAGCAGUACUCCGCGAUAAUUCCACCAUUUCCUAAACAACAUGGAGUUGAACAGUAGCUUUACACUAACAAUCCUUCGCCCAGCGCUCACCACAACCAAUCCAGAGAACCUUCGCGCGCUGAUAAGCCUUCAGUCUAUCAUAAGAAGAAUACUUGAAACUAACACUUAGACACUUGAGUAACCAAUCAAAUCGUACAUCUUGUGGCAUGCUCACCAAUAUUGACGUAAAGUGAGGUGAUCAGGGUUGAUGCUGUGAUGCGAAGGGAAGGGGCCACUCAAUUCAAUUCAAUGUCGUAAUCCGACCUGGCUUCUCCUGUCCGCACUUGGGACAGAUUGAUACUCGUUUUUUGCUGGAUUUGAACUUGCUUAAAAAGAAAGGACUCAGCUUCCGCAAAAGUGAUCGAUGGAGAAGCUCAAAAGUCUCAAUCCACCACUAACUAUCAUUCAAGUUUGAACUUUUCGAGCUCAUCCUUACCUUUGCGCUUUAGCUGCUUGUUCCCACUAACCCAUUUCAUUUUCUUAGCUGGAUCCUUC
rnacentral:lncRNA from 1 species